ACUAUAAUAAUGAAGGAAAUUAAAAUAAACGACCGCGAUCCACUUCCGGGUUCGUGGAACGCAAGAUGGAACACAAACGGCGCACGUGAUGACGUCAUCCGGUUUUAAACACACAGAAAAUACCGCCAAAACGGAAGUUGAACACCAGCUGGAAAUCAUUGAAUAAUUAAUGGGGGAUGUAUAAUAGAAUUGUGGGAGGGAUAGUUUUUAUUGCUGCUGCUAUUACUGUUGUAUUUGUUUUCACCAAGUCCCUGAGGAAGUCCAAUUGAAGGACGAAACGCGUAGGACGUUCUUAUGGUGACAUGCUAUCUGUUUUAUGCCUAAAUGUAAGCUAUUAAAAUAUUUUUUUAUUAUACUCUGGAAGUGCACUACAUUUUUGUAUAUAUUUUUCUCUUUUGAGCCAUAUAUACUAAUUCGCUGAUGGAAGUGUGAGGAGGGACAACACAGUGGAUACUGAAGAAAAAGAUAUUAUUCAAGGCUGCUUUUACAUCAGAUAAUUUGUGAGUGACCAAUUGUGAUUGCACACUAUUAUUAGUCCCUACACAGAUAAACGCUAUGUUCUUUUAUUUUAUUUGUAUUUAGCAGACUAUCCCCUAUUCUAUUUGUAUACAUUUGCUGAAGACAAGAGGAAGUCUUUGGGGAUUUACCUGGAUAUUUCACCUAAAUACAGGGAAGUCCUGGUUUGCUUUAAAUUGUAUAUAUUUCUCACUGGGGUUGUGUUCACAUAUUUUGUUGCCUGUGUGUGUCUGUGUGUGUGUGUGUCUGUCUGUCUGCCUGUGUGUGUGUUUGUGUGUGUGUAUGACUGUCUGCCUGUGUGUGUCUGUGUGUGUGUGUCUGUCUGUCUGCCUGUGUGUGUGUUUGUGUGUGUGUAUGACUGUCUGCCUGUGUGUGUGUGUGUGUAUGACUGGUUUCCUGUGUGUGUGUGUGUGGCUGUCUGCCUGUGUGUGUGACUGUCUGCCUGUGUGUGUAUGGCCGCCUGCCUUUGUGUGUGUCUGUGUGUGUGUCUGUCUGCCUGUGUGUGUAUGUGUGUGGCUGUCUGUGUGUGUGUCUGUCUGCCUGUGUGUGUAUAUGUGUGGCUGCCAGUGUGUGUGGCUGUCUGCCUGUGUGUGUGUGGCUGUCUGUGGCUGUGUGUGUGUGUGUGUGUGUGUGUGUGUGUGUGUGUCUGCAUGUAAGUGUGUGUGUGUGUAAGACUGUAUGUGAGGGCUGUGUGUGUGUGUGUGUGGAGCUGUGUGUGUGGCUGUGUGUGUGUCUGUCUGCCUGUGUGUGUAUGUGUGGCUGGCUGUCUGUGUGUGUGUGGCUUGUCUGUCUGCCUGUGUGUGUAUGUGUGUGUGCCAGUGUGUGUGGCUGUCUGCCUGUGUGUGUAUGGCUGUCUGCGUGUGUGUGUGUGUGUGUGUGUGUGUGUGUGACUGUCUGCAUGUAGGUAUGUGUGUGUAAGACUGUAUGUGUGUGAGGCUGUGUGUGUGUGUGUGUGUGUGUAAAACUGUAUGUGUGGCUGUGUGUGUGUGUGUGUGGCUGUCUGCCUGUGCGUGCGUGUGUGUGUGUGCGUGUGGCUGUCUGUCUGUAAUUGUGUGUGUGUGUGUGUCUGUCUGCCUGUAAUUGUGUGUGAGUGUGUUUAUCUACCUGUAACUGUGUAUGUGUGUUACUGCCCGUACCUGUGUGUUUCUGCCUUAUCCUGUGUAUGUGACUAUCUGCCUGCAAUUUUGUGCAUGUGGUGGAUUUGACAGUGUAUAUGUAUAACUGUGUGCAUCUGACUGUGGGACUGUGUGCACAUAACUCUGCAAAAAUAUACACCUGCUUUCACACACAGGCCUAAAUGCAUGUUAUUAUCUGAAUUAAAUAACCAUCACACACAGCCAAUAAACCCAGCACAAAUAUCACAUACAACCAAUACAUGCAUAUCACAAUCUGUUAAUAAACCCAUUACAGAUAUCACACACAGGACACAGCCAACACAUAGCAUACAUAUCACACACAGUCAUCACACCUAUCACAUACACAGACAACACAAAAUUACAUCAUACAUGGAUGAUGGGGGGGGGAGGGAGCGCUGUGAAGAUUUUUCGCACAGGGCGCCUAAAGGCCUAAGGCCGGCCCUGACUGCAUACACACACUACUCAAACACUACAUACAAUAAACACACAUACAUGUGUGUCUGUGUAUCUGUAUGUGUAUCUGUAUAUGUGUAUCUGUAUGUGUGUGUGUUUGUAUCUGUAUGUGUGUCUCUAUCUUUAUGUGUGUCAGUGUUUGUCUGUAUCUGUGCUUGACUGUGUUUCUGUCAGGGUAGUGGUCCGGUGCCCGGGACCCAGACACUGUCCAGGCGGCGGUGCAAGGACAGGGACCCUAUAUGUCUGAUGUUCAAAGUAGGAGUCACUGUGUGGAGGUGGAUUAGCAGGGUCUGGUGCAGGGUAACCGCAUGCCCCCUUGGUGUUGAGCACCAGCAUUUGUGCGGCCACAUACCAAGACCUGCAUCAGCUGGAACUAGGAGCAGGAAUUAAGCAGACCUCCCAGAGCUGAAUAGGGAGGCUCUGCAGCAAGAAUGUAUCCAGUACAGAAUCAAGGAAAGACUAGGAAAGGCACCAAACAUGAAAAACUAGACAGAACUAAUAGAACCCAGAACCGGAGAAGGAUAGGAAGUUAAACCCAGAGCAUGUACACAAUACAUAAGGGAAACAUUGACAUAACAUGGGCAGGACAGGACUGUACAUGGACUGGGAAUACAAACUAAAACAAGACAAGAUAUGAUAGGUAAAACAAGAGGAGAAAUAACUAAGUACUAUAUAUGAAAAUCAUGGGGAUUUAGUCACAUUAUAUGAUCAUACAUUGCAUAAGCCUGCCAAUGUACCCCAUAUCUGGCAGGUCCUAAGCUGCCUAAUGCAAACUAAACCUACCAAAGAAAACACACAUAGUCCUUACCUGCAAGAAAGGGCUGAAUACUUGAGCAGCUGCCUGCAGAAACACUGAAACAAAAAGGAAUGAUAGAAAACAAACGGGUGUGGCAACAUAAAACAAACAUUUAAAUAAAUCCAAGAGCCUGGAAAAUCCAGGAACGGAAUACAGGAAUGAACCCAGAGAAACCCAGCUUAAAGAAAACCAGACAUAGAAUAGAAAACCAAAAAAAACAAGAAAAACAAAACAAGAAUUGUAAAAAGAGUACUGGAUAUCAGAAGCCAUAGCCAGAAUGAUCUGCAGCUAGGAACAUGAUGUGACAGUUUCUAUGUAUCUGCAUGUGUAUACCUAUGUGUUUGUAUCUGCAUGUGUGCCAGUGUGUGCAUAUGUGAGUAUAUGUGUAUAUGUGCAUACAUCUCAGCAUUUUGCCAACACUACACACAAAUACACCCCUGUAUCCAAAUAUCAACACUACAUAAAACACACCACAUAUUCAAAAAACACUACACAAAAAUGCACGCCUGCAUUCAAAUGCCAACACUACAUGCAAACACACCCCUACAUUCACUCACACAUACUUCAUACAAAAACAUGCUUAUAUUCAAACACAAACACUGCUCAGUGCUAAAUACAUUUAUUCUUUUUAAAUAAAUGUGUUUUUUUACUUUAAAAUAAUAUCUGCCCUGGGUGCCAAAUGCUCCAGGUACGCCCCUGACCUUUGGAAUAUUCAUAUAGUUCAAUGAGUUUGUUUUUCUUAACCAGGAAUAGUAAAAGUAUGCUUUAAAUUGUAUUCCUAGUUAAUCUUGUUGUUAAUGCAUACAGUUAGUAAUUAAUACCAUACAACCACAAAAAAAAUUAGAAACUGAAUAAAAAAAGUUGUAAAGAUUAACUUUACAUCUAAUUUUCCACAUUUGAACCCUAACAAUGAAAAAAAAAUAUUGACUAUAACUACUCUUCUGAUGUCGAGUAUUGUAGAUGAUAAUGAUAAGAAGCUAAUAUGUAAGCAGACUAGGUCAUGAAUUGUUGAGCAUUCAAAGGGAAAUUUGAGGCAAAACAUAAGCAAGCUGAAACAAUAACUAACUAUGAUAAUAUUCAGCCAAACUAUUAUACUGUGCAUUGCUGACUAAAAUCCAGUUUUGCCAGAUUGGCCUUAAAGGAAGACUUUGGGCACCAUAGCAACUUAAUUUAAAUAAAGUUGUUAUGGUGCCAAGAGGUUGCAGGGUGCUUUCCUAAAUGUUCUGAAAUGGUUUAACCCCAAAAGUUGCCUACAGUGCUGAACCUCCAACCGUCAGCUUAGGGCUUCUGAAAUUAACUCUCAGGAAGAACGGAGUGCGGUCGAGCAGGGGCAUUAAUGAUUUGGCUAGAGCAGUCAUCUGAUACUCGAAGCCAAUCAGUAGCUGCCCUUUGAUAAAAAAAGGUUUGUGUAUAAACAGUAGAUGGAUUGCACUCAGUGGACUUUUGUAUGAAGCAAUAUGUAAUCUUUAUCUACAUAUCAAGUAGGGCAAGUAAUUCAGCAGGGCAAUAAUUCAGCCUCUGCGCAUGGUAUCAAUAGUACCACAGUGCUCCCCCACAACAAACCCAACACCCUCCAGUAUGACUGUCUGGCAAAACCUCCUAGCACUGUGCAGCAAGCCACAUAGAUAAAAAAAAUAAUACAGAUAAUACCACAGUGAGCAACUGAUAAAAUGCCACGUAUGUAUUCGAGUAUCAUGUUGCUUUAUGGCCUUAAAACAUUCUAACAGUAGAAGCUUAAAGUGCAAUCCCAAAUUACAGGAGCUAAUUAAUAGUCACAAACAACAAGCAAUUUAGUAGAGGUGUCAUUGAGCUACUUAGAAUAUGAAUAAUUCAUUGUGAAUUGUAUCCCAACUUCCUGCUAAAUGUUUGAAAUGGACAUUUUCUCAACUAUGAAGUUAAAUAGUAAACCAAACUACCUGGAGACUAACUGUUGAUAUAACAAGAGGUAUGUAAAUGCCUAGUGACAGGCAGAGUGGCUGAAAAAGGCUUGAAUUAAAGUAAUGAAAUGAAGCCCGAAUGUACUGACUCACAAUGACUAUGUAACGUGGCUGAAUGUAGGCUGAAUGUACUGACUCACAAUGACUAUGUAACGUGGCUGAAUGUAGGCUGAAUGUACUGACUCACAAUGACUAUGUAACAUGGCUGAAUGUAGGCUGAAUGUACUGACUCACAAUGACUAUGUAACGUGGCUGAAUGUAGGGCGAAUGUACUGACUCACAAUGGCUAUGUAACGUGGCUGAAUGUAGGGUGAAUGUACUGACUCACAAUGACUAUGUAACGUGGCUGAAUGUAGGGCGAAUGUACUGACUCACAAUGACUAUGUAACGUGGCUGAAUGUAGGCUGAAUGUACUGACUCACAAUGACUAUGUAACGUGGCUGAAUGUAGGGUGAAUGUACUGACUCACAAUGACUAUGUAACGUGGCUGAAUGUAGGCUGAAUGGACUGACUCACAAUGACUAUGUAACGUGGCUGAAUGUAGGCUGAAUGGACUGACUCACAAUGACUAUGUAACGUGGCUGAAUGUAGGGUGAAUGUACUGACUCACAAUGAAUAUGUAACGUGGCUGAAUGUAGGGUGAAUGUAGGGUGAAUGACUAUGUAACGUGGCUGAAUGUAGGCUGAAUGUACUGACUCACAAUGACUAUGUAACGUGGCUGAAUGUAGGGCGAAUGUACUGACUCACAAUGACUAUGUAACGUGGCUGAAUGUAGGCUGAAUGGACUGACUCACAAUGACUAUGUAACGUGGCUGAAUGUAGGGUGAAUGACUAUGUAACGUGGCUGAAUGUAGGCUGAAUGUACUGACUCACAAUGACUAUGUAACGUGGCUGAAUGUAGGGCGAAUGUACUGACUCACAAUGACUAUGUAACGUGGCUGAAUGUAGGCUGAAUGGACUGACUCACAAUGACUAUGUAACAUGGCUGAAUGUAGGCUGAAUGGACUGACUCACAAUGACUAUGUAACGUGGCUGAAUGUAGGGUGAAUGUACUGACUCACAAUGACUAUGUAACGUGGCUGAAUGUAGGGCGAAUGUACUGACUCACAAUGACUAUGUAACGUGGCUGAAUGUAGGCUGAAUGUACUGACUCACAAUGACUAUGUAACGUGGCUGAAUGUAGGCUGAAUGUACUGACUCACAAUGACUAUGUAACGUUGCUGAAUGUAGGCUGAAUGUACUGACUCACAAUGACUAUGUAACGUGGCUGAAUGUAGGGCGAAUGUACUGACUCACAAUGACUAUGUAACGUGGCUGAAUGUAGAGUGAAUGUACUGACUCACAAUGACUAUGUAACGUGGCUGAAUGUAGGGUGAAUGGACUCAACCAAAGUGAAAAUGGAGCUUCAGUGCCAGGAGCCAACGUCACUCCUGUACUCUCGCACAGUACAGCAUUGAGGUCUAUCCUGCAAGACCACAGGUUCCUCCAUAGAAAGAGACGAUUCCCAUCAGUUGUCACUGGUGACAGCAGGGGGAUUGACCCUUCUACACAGCUGUAAGUUCACCUAGUAUCUAGAAGUGUCAGACAUCGGAAAAAACUGAGACAAAGUGAAGACCCUACUGUCUCAGUAUUCCUUUUGACUUAGCAUGAACUUCAGUUAAAUUACAACACAGUCAAUAUGAAUAUUUCAUAAAGAUUUUGUAUUUAUGACAUACGCAUGUUGUGUGGGGGAGGGAGGGGGAGGGUGGGGUGACAGUGCAGCUUAAAUUUACGUUUUUUGAUUUUCCCAGGAAGUAUUUAGAGAUACAAAAAGUACACAUGUAAUAGGAGACAUGCAUUAACUGUGAAUUCAGUAGUUUUUUGAUUGAAGUUAGAAGUCAGAUGCAGAUAUUUUUUAGGAAUGAUUUGAGAUUUAAGAUUCUCCGGCUAUAUGAGAAUCUGUUCCGCCUGCCUCAUUUUUGAGAUAAACUAUAAAAGUUAUCAAAACAGAAGGCAUGGGGGGUGAAGGUAGCAGGAAUACUUCUCAGGUAGCGUGGGAGGUUUUCUGAGAAGCGGUUAGGAACCAGACAAGAAAGAUGAAGAAUAUGUUUGGGUUCCAUAGAGUCCUGCUUAAAGCUUGACUUUUCAUUUCAUUCAGUGGGGACUUGGAAGCUAUUUUGGAGAUUUGAAAGUCAAUCCAUAUUUAAUUCUUUAAUGAAAAUUAUAGCUAAACUCACAAUCCUCUCCAAAGGAAUUUAGCAAAAAAAAAAGCAGCAAUAACAGACUUCUUCAAAUAUUUACAUGAUAUGUAUUCUGCUAGCGAUCAAUGAUCAAAACUGCUAUAAAUACUAAGGGAUGUUCAAUGCUGAAAUCUCAUUGGUUACUUUCAUUGCAGUCUUCAAACAAAUCGUACAUUCAUUUUGAUUUAUUUUUUUUGAGUCGCGUCUGCCAGAUAAUUUCUGGAUGUUUAUCAAAAUGCUUCCUUUGAGAAAUGAAAGAAGGCUUUUUUUUUCAUUAUUCUGGCAAGGAAAUGGGUUUUAGCAUAGCAUGGCAGAGGAAUACUUUAUGCCAGAGCUAGAUCAGAGAGAAGCCUGAAGGUAGGUGUUCUGCAACCAACAAAUGGCAAGUUAUUUAUAUUAUUAGAAGCAGAGAUUUAUGCCAACUUGUUCAGCAGGAAUGUAGGAUGCACAAACUGGUAAAACAAGGAAUUGUUGACAUUAUUCAAUUUAUUGAUACUGCAUUAUGCCAACAUAUUCCGCUGUUCUUAGAAUGUUCUGCAGCAUGAUGUUCUUGUAUUUUAGUAAUCCAUUUUCAUUGCGUGUUAUUUUUUUCCAGAAACGUUUCUUAAAAGUAAAAAAAAAAAAAGUUUAUUUCCUUAUAGUGUUCCUUUAAUUAUUGUUGCAAUGAUUUUAUAGCUAAAUAUACCUCCACCACUUUCCUGUUCUGGUCCACACAUCAGAAGCUAGGUUUUUGGUUAGUAAGCAUCACAGUUACUAAACAAAGCACAUGUUGUGAUGGGAUAACUUCAGUUAGGACUAAACAUUGGAGAAAGUGAUGGUGAUUUUUCCCCAUACCUUCUGGUUUCUAUAAUGGUAUCAGAAGAAGGUUGCCUGGGUGAAUGUUAGUGAAUGCAAUCACUUGUUUUUUUUGGAAUUCAGCAUACUCGGGAACAUUAGUGGUCUGGAAAUAGAAUUCGAAUACUGACUUGCCUGGUCGGAAAACACUCAGUAUGUAAAAGAAAAAAGAGAAAUGGACCAUUUGCAUUCCAACAAUGACAGAGGCCCAGCAGAGUACAAAACAUCAAUUCCCUUUAUUAUAAAAUAUAAUACAAUAUUAAAAUGCAAAAGAAAAAAUACAAGUGUGAAUUUUGGUGGCAAAUUUCAACUUAGUUUUAGUCAUAGUCUUUUGACUAAGAAGCCAUUUUAGUUUUAGACGUAUUUUGGUCAUGUGAAUUGUUUUAGUCCAGUUUUAGUCGACUAAAUCUCAAAAAUUUUAGUCGACUAAAAUCUGACUAAAAUUGUUAGUCGACAAAAUUAACACUGCAAGUAAAUAGUAAAGGUUCAAGUCAUGCUCUACAAAAAGGGGAGGACAUUCAGAACAGAACACAUAUCUAAAUAGGUUGAUGUGCUUCUUGUCUAACCCAGACACUUUCCCAACAGCUAAAAACUGAGUAAGAAAAGAGGGAACCCUCAAACAGAAGGUUUACCACCAAACUUUAUCUUAAUAAAAAAUCUAAAUGUAAUUAUACCUAAUGAUAGGCAUGCAUCCCACACAGUGUGUAUGUUAACCCAAAUUCUGAUUACCGUAUAGGUCCUGAAUGAAGAUACCAUAGAGAUCUGUAACAGUCACCAGGAUUGUUUUUAGUUUUGGGUGAUAAGCUGUGGUUUAUUUAUGCAGGCUAGGUGUCCGUGAGGCCCUGCGGUAUGGUAGGCUGUUGUUGAGCUUGCAGCCAUAGAGAUAUUAGCAUGUAGGAAGACAGCCUUUGGAACCUAGUUAGGAGACUUUAUUGCAUGUAUAUACAACCCUUACAUGUUGAGGAAGUUACGUUGAUUUAACAUUCACUCACAACGCCCUUGGAGAAUCUCUUAAGCUACAGUCUAUGGUUAAUAUGGACAGACACACUAGGUAGCCAGGAAAUGACAUAUUAGUCGAUUCCUGUCUUCUGAACUUGUGGUUCUUCUAGCUGGCCAGAGCGGGUGACCUGUUUAUUACCUGUUCUAAAAACUGAGAUUUUUGACAAGCACAGGUGUAGGAAGUACACAUAGAUUUGAUGAAGUUAUAGUGAGUGGUACUAUGCGGCUCUUAUUUUGCUAAAAAUCCCACAGGGAGAUACAUUGUAUCUCUAGCUUUAUUGGUAUACUUAGUUACAAUAUGACAAGGGGAUACAUAGUAGCCCUCUCUAUUACUAGCCAAACUAGGCUAAUUUGGUUUUACAUGCAUUGUGCAGGUUGUACAUUUUUACUUUUUAUUAGGUGAUAAUUAGAGGAAAACCCUCUAUUUUAAGGGUUUCAUAUUAUCUUUUUCAGUUUUUAAGUAUUGUUUUUAUGGAUGCAAUUGUCUCUCAUGGCCAGUUCUGAAGUGUAUUUUCUGCUUCUAAAUACAGAAGUAAUUUCUCAACAUUUAAAUAGUUUUGUGUUUUUUCCCAAUCAAUCAUUUGUGUCACCGUCCAUCUCUGCCUUUUCUCGAGGACUUCCUCCUACGUGUGCCAUAUGGAAACACAUUUAAUUCAGAUGAUAACCUGAUGUCCCCUCUUUGUCAUACAUUCUGCCUCUCGAACCUGGACUUCAUUUUGAUGAGAUUCUUUUCUUAUGUCCCCUUACACUAUCUCAAAUGCUUAGCCAGACAGCCAGGCUGUCAGCAUUCUGAUAAAGUCGACGGCUUCUAACAAUCUUUUGUAGUGGUUGCGUUAGUGCAUACACGAGGUGCAUCCCCAGUAUUUUUCAUGGACUGGGGAGAACAGGUCCCAUAGCAAUAUUUGUGGUCUAUAGAUUUUAUAACUGACCGCAUGGUUAUAGUUAUGAAUGAGACAUUCUUGAUAACUAAGGAAAACACUGCAAGUUCUAGUCAAGGUUAGGGCUGUGAGAUAUUAGGAAGACAGUAAUAUUUGCUACAAGCUAUACUCUAGCUUUUAAAUUACUGGAGUACCAGCUGCACCUCUAACACCCUCAACAAAACAACGAGUGUGCGUCCUCUUCUCAUUAAUAUAGAUAGUUCAAUGUUCAGGUUUCUUCUUCAACCAUACAGCAAGAAGUGAUUCCAAAAAAAUAAAGCACGGGGUGUUCCUCAGGACCACCUACUAAAGAAUGUGUGUUACCUUUCUUUUAACUUCUCUCCUUUUAUUUGAUUUGGACUCCACUCUCAGCAGUGCCCACCCAUUUAUUUUUCUAAAAAGUGAGUAUACACAGGAGAGUGAGCAGAUAAAACAUAUUUGGCAUUGUUUUAAAUGGGUGAAUUAAAGGGAGUACAGUCCCCAUAAACAACUGAACGGAACUCUCAAUCACCCCAUCCAACACUCCAUUGGUUUGAGGUGGGUUAUCUAGCAGGACAAGCGGUUGUGCCUCUUGUUUAUCCAUGCAUGGUUCCAAAAUUCUAAAACCACAGCUAUGCAGAAAAUUGUUAGAAGGGAUUACACCACUUUUAUAUAUAACCCUCGUGUUUACAUGUUUCUAAUAGAUUCACUGAAAGGCUGAACGUCAGAGUUAUAUCAGAGAACAUUUCAUUCUUUAAUCUCUUUUUGUGAUAUCCUAAAGGGAGUUCCCUUUUGGUGGUGACUAGCAAAUUGCUUUGGUUUCCUGAUGCAAAGUGCACAAUUUAAAGGCAUUACUGCAGCUUAUAACUAAAAUGUCAGCUGUAAAUAGUUCAUUCUUUCAGAAAAAGAAUAUAUUUUUUUAUAUAUAUUCUUCAAAUCGUGCAAACAGUGGUUUUAUUAAAUCUUCCAAAUUUCAGCUGUGUUACAAAUCAAAUUGACGUUUCGACCCGUUCGGGUCUUUAUCAAGAUCUUGAAACAUCGGUUUGAUUUGUAACACAGCUGAAAUUGGGAAGAUUAAAUAAAAACACUAUUUGCACGAUUUGAAGACCUGUGAGUGCUCCCUUAUGGUUGUUGCAUAUAUUGAACGCGGGAUUGCACCCAGGUGGAUUUCCUAUUUUAUUUUAUGUUUGUUGGUGGAGUGCCAAGUUGCUCUUAUUUUGUCCAUGACAAAAAAAUUCACAAAAGACAAAGAAGAUGUCAAUAAAAAAGUUAAAGAAAAUAUUGCAUGACUAUACCAUGAGACUCGCAGGUCUCCAUCGUAAGAUAAAACCCAUUGGUCUCACAGGACCAUGUGAUAUGAUCAAUAACAUUAGCAUUGAAAAUGGAGUGUAAUAAUAAAGAUUUACUAUGAAUUGCAGGUCUUAGCACAUCAACAAUCAUAUAAAAUUUAAUUCAGACGCAGUUAUGACAUCAAUGUCCAUUUGUUAAGGACAAAAUACUACUUGUGGAUAUUAUCGGUGAUGUCCUAGGCAUAUUAGUUGAGGGGCCUAACCCUAUUUGGUUGAUGGGUAACUAUAAGUUAGGUAUCAAACAUUGGAGAGCCAUAAUAUUUAUGUUUUCCUUGGGGGUUCAUACAUUAAAGCAAAAAGCCUAGUGCCCAUCCCUAAGCUCUUCUCCAGUUACUCAUUUGCUGCCUUUCAAAUUGAACAAGCGCCCAUCUCAAUGGAAGAGCGAACGUUAGGACUGCCUCUCCCACCCAUUAAAGAAAGUCCAACCUAUGGACCUUGUCGCUAACAUACUUAGUGUAGAAACCAGGUUGCACCCUGUGUGCAUGUCUCUCUGGAGAGCCAAUAACCAGUAAAAAGGGCUAACAGCAGCGACCCAUAGUCCUCAUGAUAAAAAGUAGCCAUAGAACAGGAAUGAGAAAAGGAAUGAGAAAGUAUAUGGACACCCAUCACUGUCCCCUCCCCCGGAUGAGACUAAACAGUGGGAGCAUUUCCAACCUGCAGGACACGUUUAGAAAUAAAAAAUUCAAACCAGAGGUAACAUAUCUCUGCAUAUGCAAAAGAGAGAAUAGGAGACCUAUAGUGCAGUAUUGUAAGUUUAUGGACUAUAGACAACGUAGAACUAAAAAUUGCCAACUCACGUUUUUCAGAGCUAUAACCAGCUCUUGGUAAAACAGCUUACAGUGGUAUUUCAACUCCCUACUUGUAGGAUAUCCCUCAUACAGUAGUUGUAGUAUAGUUUACAUACAAUUAAAGAAAAAGAAGGCUUAUAGUGCUCUCCAUAUUUGCAAAUAAAUAGUAGUAAAAUUAAAUAUACUUAGAAUUUUGGGAGCAGACAAACUGCUCUAUGGAAACAGCGUGGGUGGAACAAUCCCCAGCUAGGAUACUUUUGAAAAUGGACCUGAUGUGUAUGGAAAAUAGGUUGCGCCAGGUACAAAUAAAAUAAAAUAAAAAACUAAAUAAAAGUAUAAAAAGACUGCCCCAAAGCAAAUAUAUAGUCUAAAAAUCUUACUUUUAUUUAAACAAAUAUUAAUAAAAUCACUUGAUUUUUUUUAAUAUUAAUAUGAUUUUAUUAAUAUGAUUUUAUUAAUAUUUGUUUAAAUAAAAGUAAGAUUUUUAGACUACCUAUUUGCUUUGGAAAAUAAGGAUCGGGCCGCUUUCUUUUUGUAUUUAAGAAGAAUAAAUAAAAUACUGGUACUGGAUUGGAGGUUAUAGGAGGUGGGAACAGCUGGGGAGAGCAUUCUGCUCAGGUAGGGUAGAAAAGCUCUUAAACACAAGGCUGGAUAGAUGAAGGGUUCUUCUGGAUUCCAGCGAUAGCCAGUUUAGCUCUUUUAGCAUUUCACAAUAUUUGGUAAAGUAAUUACUUUGUAACACAAAGUGGCCGAACGAGUAAUACAAUGUAUUAUUACAUUAUUAAGGUGGGUUUGCUGUGCAGGUGCAUAUACUACAUCCCCAUAAUCUAUGAUUGGCAUCAGCAUUUGCUGUAAAAUUGUUUCCUUUACUGUGGGGCACAGGCAGGAUUUGUUUCUGUACAGGGUACCUAGUUUUGGAUAGAGUUUUGAUGAGAGUUUUUCUGUGUGGAGGCCAAAAGAUAGAUUGAAGUCUAACAACAUACCCAAGUACUUGAAAGAGUCAGUAUUUGAUUUGAUUUUGUUUUGAUGCAUUGAUAGGAAUUUUUUUAAUUUAGGUAAUUUAGAUACUGUUCAGAAGAGCAUUGAGACAGUGUUGUUAUUGUUAUGAAUGAGAAAGAGUUUGUUUUUUGCGAUUUAGUUUUCUACAUCUGAGAACUGGUCUUGGAGCACAACCUCAAGUUGCAGUAGAUUGAAUUUGCUUGCAUAGAUUAAGGUGUCAUCGGCGUACAUGUGUAGAUUUGAGGCUUUGCAGACAUUAAGCAGAUCAUUUUUAAAUAAUGUGAAUAGUAGGGGGCCGAGAAUGGAACCUUGGGGAACACCACACGUAAAUGGGAGAGGGAGGGAGUCGCUGUCAGAAAUGGGCACAUAUUGCAAUCGAUCCAACAUAUAUGAUCGAAACCAGGUUAGCGGACGAUCACCAAUACCUGACUUUUUACAGUAGAAUGUUGUGGUCUAAUGUGUCAAAGGCCUUGGCAAAAUCAAGAAAAAAAUAGCUCCAGUUAGGUCUCUUUGUUCCAUGCCAGUUUGGAUGUCAUUGCAAACUUUAAAGAGGGCAGUUGAGUGAUUCAGACGGAAGCCUGAUUGAUCAGGGGUCAGAUAGUUUAAUUGUUGGUAGUACUCACAUAGUUGCGUGUGGACGCAUUUUUCCAAGAUUUUUGACAAUACAGGGAGCAAUGAUAUUGGGCGAUAGAUACCAAAGUUUUGUCACCACUUUUAUGGAUAGGCACUACUCUUGCAGUCUUUCAAAGUUUGGGUAUGUAUCCAGAUACCAAGGAUUCAUUAAUUGUGGUUGUGGCAGGUUUAGCAAUUGCCGGCGCACUGAGCUUCAACAACAGUGCUGGGAUAUGAUCAGGUCCAGACUGAAUUUCUCCCAUGGUAUCUGUUGGAAUUCUUUUCCUCUACCUUUUUCACCAUCAGAAAUUGAAUGGUCAUGGAGGAGGUGCCUCAAACACUGCUUCUGACCCUAAGAUCCUGCGAAGCUCGAUGUUCUGAGGAGGCGACUUGAUGCUAGGGAGGUAGGUAAAGCAUUUAACAUCCAAUGGCAUAGUUGAUAAAUUACAUGGAAUUUGAUUAAAGCUCUGCUUUUCAAUUUUUGUCAACAUGCCAUUUAUACAAAAGAAAAAGUAUUUCUUUAUUUUUCCUUACGUAUAACUUUGAAAAACAAAACAAAACUCAGCUGCCCAAGGAACAAAAUUAAAUGUAGUUCAGGAUAAAAAAAUAAGGUGACAGAGCCACUUCAAGGGUCAACCCUACCUGAAUGUCUAUUUUUGCUCACCCUGCAAUUUUAUAAGGUAGUCCCAUGAUCCUUUGCUAUAAUCGUGCCAGCUCAUUAUUUGCAUACAAUAUAUUGAUCUAAUCCAUAGACAGUCCUGCGGUAUACACAAUAAUAAACAAAACAAACAAAAUAAAUCAAGGACUAUAUUUUGUAUUGUUAUAUAUUCUCCAUAUGUUUGAGGGGAAACUGGUCUAGUUAUAGAUGUCAACAGUAAUCUAGUCUAACUUUAGACAGCAAUAAUAUGUUGCGGGCAAUGGCGGUGGUCAGCAGAGCUCUGGUUUUUGUCAUACUACUUAAAAUUGUUUUGACAAAAAACAGGGGAAUACCACACAAACACAUCUUGGACUAAAAAUGUGUUUAGGCUGAAUGCUGUGCCCCUUUAAUCAAAGAUAAAAAUGUAAAAUAAUGUAACAAUACAUUAUACAAACAAUACAGAGGAUUUGUGGGUCAUUAAACUUGUGUAAAGGCUUACCUGGGGUUGACAUCCAGAGUGCAAAGAUAAUGCUCAUUCUUGCAAAAUAUCAAAUCUUACAGUGACUAGUCAGGUAAAUCACCCGGAGAGUGAAUGUGUGCAUGGGGGCUGUGCAGUAGAGCAAAUCUGGAAGCCAUAAAUAGAUGUACAAAACAAGAGAGUCAGGCAGAGCGAUACUGGGCGAGUGUACGAGGUGCACAGGGCCAAGGAGUUCUGUAGAUAGAGAUUACUAUGAGGGGUGUGCGGUGGUAAGCUUUCCCCCCUCAUAUUAAGCCCUGCCACUCUUGUCAGGCUCUGACCUCACCUGAAAUGAUGCUGGGCACCAGAACUAGAGGAAAAGGUUACAAGCUGUCGAAGAUGGCACUGGUGAGCCAUUUGUGCACAAAUAUGGCACUGAUGAGUUAUUUUCAGACAAAGAUGGCGCUGAUUAGCAGUUUGAGGAUACAGAUGGCACUGGAAUGCUGUGUGGGGACAGAUAUGGCUCUGACAGCUGCAUGGGGACAGAGAUGACCUUGUGAAGCAGUGUGGGGACAGAGAUAGCCUUGACCAGUUGUGUGGAGACAAACAUGUUACUGGGAUGCUAUGCACAAAGGUGGUUCUGAUAAGCUUUUUGGGGACAAAGCUGGCACUGUAGGAAGUGGGUGACAUGUUACCUGGUGAUGUUGGGGGCCUGUAUGAGGUGUUAUGUUUGUGAAAGGUAGGAGUUAGCAAUAAAGCCACACACUCCUGAGGGCACUAAAAGUGGAGCUAGGAGUAGGCAGAAUGCUUCUAGAAAUGAUAACAACAAAUUGACCCUGAAGCUGAUAAGAGGCAGGACUUGAAAACUAGUAAAGGAGCCACAGAUGAGGCAAAUAGCUGCAGUUGAGACAGCAGGAGUCUAGCCCUCCUCCUCCUCUUCCCCCCUCCCAGAGACUCAGGCUCGGCUGCAAAACAGACUUAGACGUCAAACUCUAGUGGCCCACAGGUAGUGAAACUGACUGGAAACGAUCAGGACCAGAAUUCAAGUUCAGCCAGAUCUGGCACCUGCUGAGAUGGGGACAAACCUGUGCUCAUAAAAAGUUAAAUACAGUAAUCCAAAAAAGAAAUGCCAAAGUGAGCAAUGCCAGUAAAUUGACUCAUUUUAUUUUACAUUUUUAGAAACACAAGAGAUUUUUUUUGCGUAGUUGUGGAUGAAGACCGGUCACCUCACUGUGGGCUGAUUUACCUUUUAUAGUGCAUAAAUUAAAUUUUUUACUUAAAAGAAACAUUUAUAGAAAAAAAAAUGUCAAGUAAAUGAUGAAUCAUAUAUUUAGGGGACAUUAUUGUCUAGAGGUAGCAUGUAAUUUUGUAUUAACUUUAUUUAUAAAUGACAUUCUCAUUCUCAGAGACUAUAUUAUGUCCACCCUGUAUUUAUCUGCCUGCCUGUGUGUGUCAUAUCAUCUCGGCAUCGUAGAUCAUAAGGAGUUUUCUUUUUACUGAAUACCAAUUAACAAAACAUUUUGUGACAUGACUAACAAAAAACACACUGGCAGUUAUUUAAGGUCUUUCAAAUUUUAAAUAGCUCAGGUUAUUAUAGACAUAAAAUAUUCAUAUGACAAGCAAUUUUAGCUGUUGAUAUAAUACAUGACUUGGUUCAACCUUCUGCAUCCAGUUUUAUAGAUUUUCUUCUGCAAUUUCCUGGAAAUGAAUUAGGUUUAGGUAUCAACCCCUUCCCGACAUUAGGAUAUUCCUUGUCGUCCUCCACAAAGUGGGCUUUAACCAUUUUAGGACAGCAUGGAACAUCCUAAAGUUUUGGUAUGAGCAGGGUUAAAUCUCUGUCCACACCUGCGAGUACCAGGUAUCAAUCCCAGAGUCACAGGUAUCAAUCGCUACCCGGGGCUCCCCUCUGUAAGAUGAGGCCAUUUUUAGUUACCCUAUACUGAACAAUGAGCUGUAUGCAGUGCUCAGAGUGAGUGCUGUACACAGCAUUUUAAACAGGCAUUUAAAUGCCAAUGGCAAGGACGGUUAAAUCCCUGCACACACCAUGGACACCCAAGAGUCAAUCGAUACCUGGGGAUCCCAUCUGUCAAACGGGGCCACAUUUUAAACUGAGAGAUACAUGGGGCUCUUUAAAUCAAUUGAGAACACUGCGGCUUAGCAAUUGUUGGCAGUUGCGCGUGGGUUGACCCCUCGGGUCUGAACAGACGGUAACAGGGUCCCCCUGCAUGCCUCUGCAAUAUGGUUAUCUGUGCAAAACUCUGCAUGCAAAGCUCUGCACGAUUGUGAUCAUGCUGGGCUUUGCCGAGUGUCACUGUCUAGCACUGAUCACAGUGUAAGAGGCAGGGAAAUAUCCCUGUAAUGCUGAAAGCAGCCAGUAGAUGGUGGUCACAGACCGCUCUCUACUGCUUUAACUAGGACACCCACCUGCUGAUAUCAGUACUGGUAUUAGCAGAGGGAUUCAUUAGGGUAUGGUCAGGGUUAGUUUCAGGCUAAUGUAAGGGUUAAUGCUGGGUUAGGAUAAAUGCAUUUUUAGGGUUAAGGUUAGAGCUAAGGUUAGGGUAGGCAUAUGUUUAGCAUUGGGUUAAGGGUAGGGCUGGUUAGCAUUACUUAUCAAAAAUUUAUUUAGAUCCUAGACAUAUUUUGAGGCCUAUUUGAGUUAUUUUUCUUUAGUUGCACUAGAUGUUUAAAAAAUAUUAUAAGGAAAAAUAUGAAAAAAAAACCAAAAAUGUUUCACAUCAGCUUCAGAAACGAUCUCAAUCUGUAAAAAAUGAGUCCAUAUUAAACUCUAUGGAUAUUUUUGUAGAUUGAUAAUUUGAACAUUUUUAAGAGAUUGGAAUAAUUUCUGAUGGUUGCAUAGUUACAUAGUUAGAUAGCUGAAAAGAGACUUGUGCCCAUGAAGUUCAGCCUUCCUCACAUAUGUUUUUGCUGUUGAUCCAAAGAAAGCAAAAAAAAAAAAAAAACAGUCUGAAGCACUUCCAAUUUUGCAACAAACCAGGAAUAAAUUUCUUCUGACCCCAAAAUGGCAGUCCGAUAUCUCCUUGGAUCAAGCUGCUAUUAUCCCACUAAUUAGAAAUGAUAUCCCUGUAUGUUAUGUUUUUGCAAGUAUUUAUCCAAUUGCUGUUUAAACAUCUGUAUGGACUCUGAUAAAAACACCUCUUCAGGCAGAGAAUUCCACAUCCUUAUUAUUCUUACUGUAAAAAACUUUUCUUUGCCUUAGAUGAAAUCUCCUUUCUUCCAGCCUAAAUGUGUGACCUCGUGUCCUAUGUAUUGCCCUGUUUAUAAAUAGAUUUACAGAUAAUGGUUUGUACUGGCCCCGAAUAUAUAUGUAUAAUGUUAUCAUAUCCCUUCUGAGGUUCCGUUUUUCCAAACUAAAGAGAUUGAAAUUUUUUAACCUUUCUUCGCAACUAAAAUGCUCCAUUCCUUUUAUCAAUUUUGGUGAUUCAUAACUAUUAAAUCAAGAUCUAAGGCCUCGAUUUAAAACUGUUGGAUAAGCUUUUCCAAUUAUUUAUUAUUUGUGGAUAAACUUUUAAAAUGGUAUAACAUUAUGAUAGUUUUUUGAUGUAUUGAUAUUUUUUGGUUAUUUUAAAAGCUUACCUGACAAUAUUAAAUUGAGACCUUAAGUCAGCAAUACACUGUACACAAAACACAGUCAGCAGACAAUUUUCAUAAUCUGUGGCUACAACAAAAUUUUGACCUAAUCAAAACAGAUAGAUUAGCGAAGACAGGAACCUAAAUUGGACCCAGCUUUGGGUGUCAACAUAUACGGUAUAUUUAGUAGCGUGGAUUUGGGUUAAAAAAAUAGCUUUGUUUGUUUUUUGUUCAAGCUGGCUCAGGUUUACAAAUGUAGGUGUAACGUCAUAUGUAUUCUAUAAAUGCAUGUUGUGCAGAAUUUAGUAGAAAAGUAUAUUUUACAUGACCUUGCAAACUACGAUACACUUCAUCAGGUUUCACACCUUGGAAUGCAUACAGUUGCAAAACUUGGGCAAUUGGAAAAUAAAACAUUGGCAAUUCUUGUAGCAAAACACAAUAUAGUAUCUGUCUGUUAGAGGGGCCUCUUGGUACCACUUCAUGCUACCAUCUUAAUCAUAACAUCAAAUCCUUUAAAGUUGAAUGUAGAACCACUUGACAAAGGCCCAAAUACAAAAUAAACACUCCGCUGCCCAAAUAUAAAAUAAAUGAAAAUCACUGUUUAGUAGAAAUAUCCCCAAUGAAAACUUGCAUGCAUUUAAACAUGCAAUUUUUCAUAAGGGGUAUAUCUAAAAACAGCUUAUAAAAGCUGCAGUUCUCCUGUCUGCUGCUUUUUGCAAACCCUCCCCUUCUAACCCCGCCCAGACUUUCUGUGGCUGUCCAAUCACAGACUUCCCAAUGCAGCCUAAUUACAUUUUUUUUGCAAGGCAGGUGCUCUGAGCAAUUGCUGCAUCUUGAGUUUAGCUCCACUCAGCUAAAUAAACCAGGAAGUAAGCGGUUGUUUGAUUGACUACCAGGAUGGUAUAACAAGGUUAAUGUAUAAGACUGUCAAUGUCUAUAAAAAUAUGCACUUUUUGCAAAAUGAAAAAAGAGGACACACUCUUCACACACGAAGCAUUUCAGCAAGCUAAAGUGCUUUAAGGGUCUGGAGUGUCCUUUAAGCCAAAAUAUUGCCGUUCUUGUGUACAUGCUUAAGUAAAUGGUACAUUUCUUGUUAAUAGGUUUCUUUGUGGCCUGUUAAUUAUGAAUUGCAAUUUAUAUUUUGGACUAGGAUAGAGAUGUGAAGUUUGGAGAUGGCUGAUAAACCAAGUGGACACUUAUCUCAUAGUGAAGACUUCAUGCCAAGGUUUCGGUUUAUGUCUCAGUAUAUAAAUAGAGCAUACUGCUAAAAUACAAACUUAGUUUUACUCCUAAAUAUGUGCAUUUACAAGAUGUUACUUGUGACAAAGCCUGGAGGGGACUACUGGCUAGCCUCCUGCAUUCCGACUAUGGCCCCUGUGCUGAUAGCUGUAUUUUACCCUGCAGAAAGGUUUAUUUGUGUAUUUCUGCCGGGGCGUUCGGGACUUUCAGUAUGUGAGUAGUGCUACCCCAGAUAGCUAACAAAAGACUAUGGAAAAGACUUUGGCUCCAUGGUGAUUGAACUGUAUGUAGGUGAUCUGAGCACCAUUCGGUAAUAAUGUGCGUUCAGAUCUAAGCUAUCUGGGGAUAUGUUGCAUGUAUAUGUUUUAUGUAGUAAUUGUAACAUUGUGUAAUUUUAUGUCUUUUUGUAACCAUGUGGUUAAUGGAGUCUUGCCUCUGUCCUGGGAGAUAAUUUGAUUACUUCCAAUUAUCUCCAGGAUAGAGAGGAGGGAUUGUUAUGUUUGUAUUGUCUAUGAUUGGCUUAUAUCUUAUAUGUGUCCCAUUGUUCCAUCAGGUCCCCUAGGGCAGUGUCCACCUGGUGGACACUUGCAUAAAUACCAGGCAGGUAGCCCUUAAUAAACCAGACCUACUUGCACCUUUCUUGAAGCCUUGGCUCUUGCUUGGGGGAAGGGAUACCUACACUCUGGGCAGGGCCGCCAUCAGAAAAUUUGGGGCCCAUGACAAAGCACAAGGUCUGGGCCCCCCCCCUCCUCGCGGGCCCGCCCACGCCCUACCUAGUCCGCUCACAAUGAUGCAGGACUGAAUGUGGUGUGUGUAUAGUGGAAGUGAAUUAGAAUGUGGGUAAUGGAUGUAGUGUUUGUGUGUAUUAGAUACUGUUUGUGCAAUGAAUGCAGAGUGUGUGUUUGUGUAGCGGAUGCAGUGUGUAUAGUGAAUGCAGAGUGUUUUUGAGUAGUGGAUGUAGUGUGUGUACAGUGAUGUAGUGUGUGUUUGUGUAGUGGAUGUAGUGUUUGUAUGUACUAGAUGAAAUGUGUUUAGUGGAUGCAGUGUCUGUAGUGUGUGUAUUAGACGCAGUGUCUGUGUAUAGUGAAUGCAGAGUGUUUCAAUUUGUGGUGGAUGUAGCGUGUGUACUGUGAAUACAGGAUUUUUGUGUAGUGGAUGCUGUGUGUACAGUUAAUGCAGAGUGUAUGUUAGUGUAGUGAAUGCAGAGUGUGUGUCAGUAUAGUGAAUCCAGAGUGUGUGCAUAGUUUAGUGAAUGCAGAGUGUGUGUUAGUGUGUAAUGAAUGCAGAGUGUGUGUUAGUGUGUAGUGAAUGCAGAGUGUGUCAGUGUAAUGAAUGUGGUGUGUGUUAGUGCAGUGUGAAUGCAUAGUGUGUGNNNNNNNNNNNNNNNNNNNNNNNNNNNNNNNNNNNNNNNNNNNNNNNNNNNNNNNNNNNNNNNNNNNNNNNNNNNNNNNNNNNNNNNNNNNNNNNNNNNNGUAUGUGUUAUUGUAUGCGGUGUGUGUUGUGUUAUUGUAUGCAGUGUGUGUGUGUUGUGUUAGUGUAUGCAGUGUGUGUUGUUAGUGUGUGAUCUGGGGUGAGGGGGAGGAAGGGGCAUUUUAACAUUAAUUUUUAAUUAAUUGAAUUAAAUGUUUCUCCCCCCUCCCUGCUUACCUGUGUCCAUGGAGGGGGGAGAUUCCAUCCCUGGUGGUCCGGUGGGGGGCCCCCCGGCUCCCUGUUACCGCAGAGAGGGCCCAGGCAGCACACAGCUUCUCCUCUCUUCUCAUAACUCUCGCGAGACCCGGUUACCAUGGCAACGCUCCGCGGGUCUCGCGAGAGUUAUGAGAAGAGAGAAAACAGGAGGAGAAGCUGUGUGCUGCCUGGCUGGGCCCCCUCUGCGGUAACAGGGAGCCGGGGGCCCGCAGCUGCACACAUAGAUAGCGAUAUGCGCUAUCUAUGUGUGCAGAAAGGGAAAGUGGGGCCCAGGACUGCCAGAGCAGUCCGGGCCCCCCAGGGCCGCCGGGCCCGUGACAACUGUCACGGUUGUCACCCCCUGAUGGCGGCCCUGACUCUGGGGAUUGCUAUAAUCACUUACUCCCCAGAGUAAGCUCUUGUAAGAGCUUGAUUUGUUCCUGCUACGCUCUCUGGAUUUAGGAGAGGUUCACCCACUGGGAGCUGGAUCCUGGUCGUGGAUCCAGGGUGGGUGAGAGACGGCGAGAUCCCGACGCAGCUGCAUCGUUGGAAGUGGGGUCCGCAGUGCUGAUGGUGUCAGUUGGAGUGCUCGGAGUCCUCGACAAGCGCUAGGAGCAUCGAUUGGCGGAGGUACUCGGUCGGAGUGCCAGCGGUCCGUCACAUUACUUAAGUAAGGAAAUGUUUUAUUUAUUGUUUUUAUUCGAAGUAGAAGUGUAACAGGAUACCAUUCUAUAACUAAACAUCCACAUCCAUAUCUCCGACAAGAGAGUAAUUAGCGUUUUACUAAUAUCUCUUGCAUAAACAUUGUGUGUUACUAUGUCAAAACACAUUGGCACGCUUUAUCAGGGCCGGUGCAAGGAUUGUUGACGCCCUAGGCAACAAUACAUUUUGAUGCCCCCCUCAUGAAUGCAACUACAUUCCCUCAGAGGUUUAUUCAGUAAACUCUGAAUUACAGUGAAGAGACAUUUAGGGAAAGAGACUCACUGAGUAGGCAUUAAAGGGAAACUAUAGUGCCAGGAAAAAAACUUGUCAUCCUGGCACUAGAGCUACCCCCUCUGUCAAGCGUACCCCCCUCAUUGUGCAGAAGGGGUUAAAACCCCUUCUGUCACUUACCUGGGUCGAGCACCAAUAUCUUUCGUGUUGGCUUUAGUCCGCCUUUGCUCCUCAAUGGCCGCGCUCGCAGUGGUAUUUUCGUAGAGCUAGGUUUUGUGUGACACAGGACGGGACCAUGCCACUAGAAGAGUUAACCCUGAACGCUAAUUAUUGCAAUAUUGCAAUAAUUACCUUUGCAAUGUUACUUAAACAAUCUCACUAAUACAUACACUCUCUCACUGGCAUACACACUUACACAUUCUAACUCUAAGUUACACACUCUAACACAUACACAUUUUCACUGACCUAUACAUUGUCACUUACACACUCUCACUGAUAUACAAACGCUCUCACUGACAUACACACAGUGUCACCUACACACUCUCAUUAAUACACACACUAUCUCACUGACACACCGUGUAACUUACACACUCUCACCAACAUACACAUUGUCAGUUACACACUCUUACCAACACUGACAUACACACAGUGUCACCUACACAUUCUCAUUAAUACACACACUAUCUCACUCACACACAGUGUCACUUGCACACUCUCACUCACACACACAGUGUCACUUACACAUACUCACUAACAGUGUCACUUGCACACUCUCACUAAUACACACAUCCAGUCACUUGCACACUCUCACUAAUACACACACACACACACACACACACAGAGUCACUUGCACACUCUCACUAAUACACACACACACACACAGAAUCACCUGCACACUCUCACUAAUACACACACACACAGUGUCACUUGCACAUUCUCACUAAUACACACAUCCAGUCACUUGCACACUCUCACUAAUACACACAGAGAAUUACUUGCACACUCUCACUAAUACACACACACAGUGUCACUUGCACACUCUCACUAAUACACACAGAGAAUCACUUGCACACUCUCACUAAUACACACACACACAGUGUCACAUGCACACUCUCACUAAUACACACACACACACACACACAGUGUCACUUGCACACUCUCACUAAUACACACACACACAGUGUCACAUGCACACUCUCACUAAUACACACAUCCAGUCACUUGUACACUCUCACUAAUACACACACACACACACACACACACAGUCACUUACACACAUUGUCACUUACACACUCUCAUUAACACACACUGUCACUCAAACACAGACUCACACCACUUUACAUAAACACACACUUUGUUUACAUACACAAACACAGCAAUUUAACACACACACCAAUUUACAAACAUGGACACAAUAAGCAAUCCCCCAUAUCCUCCAGUUAUGCCAUCCCUGGGUGCUGUGAAGAUGAGAAGAGGCUGCAGGAUUUUGUUCUUUCUGCUGGAGGAGCAGGAGAGCCGUUCACUGUGAGCACAGGCUGCUUCCUGUUUCCUUCACCGUGUUCACAGGCAAGGGGCCGCCUGGAUACCAGGUCACAUCCCGGCUUCCCCUGCCUGCAGCAAGCACAGGGCUCUGCUCGGGUGCUGGGGUUACAGUAAACUCUGCUCCCCGGGCAGGUAAUCGGCUGCAGAGGGAGCCCAGCAGCUGAAUGGCUGUGCUGGGGGUGGCUAAGGAGCUUUAUUCUUCUCCUCUUUGGCCUUUCCCCCUAUCUCAAUGUCACAGUUACUUAGCGAAUUAUCCUAGUAAAGUACAGAAAAUUCUGAUUCCAUAUACUCUUGUCCCUAUUGUCUUUUUGGACUCUUUUCGUGAUUUUUACAUAUUCUUUGCCCCCUACUGUCUGUUCUUUUGAGAUAAUCAAUAGAUUUCCACUCAUUAUUUCUUCCUCAUCACUUGACUACUUUCUCAUUUCCAACUCACCAUCCAUGUUCCGUGCAUUCCAUUACUUACCAGUGAGCUGUACUACUUUCCCAUGCUCAUGACUUGGACACAUUUUAUGACCCAUGUUAGAAUUUGUCAAAUCUAAGAACGUCUGACGUGUUAGAACUUUAAAUAGAGCCUAAUACUAUUCUCAUGCAGAACCAGACGCAAAAACUAAGAUUGCUUUUAUUUAAGUUGAAUCUGGUUCUGAUCAGGCCAUCUCAUUCUUUUACUUGUAUCCUCUGUACCGUUAUGUACAUUUAAUUUUCAAUUACCGCCUGUGUAGAGGAUGGCUUUCUUUGAAAUAAAGUUGUUUUUCAUUUCUGUUUUCAAAGCAUAAAAUGCAUGAUAACAAUAACUGGAUUUGUUCACUAAAAGUUUGAAAACAAACUUUAAAAUUUAAGCCUAAAUAGUCAAGAAUAUUUAUUCCAUCUCAACCAUGUUAACCUAAAUUUUGUUGAGAGUUGGUCAAUCCGAUUUAUAUUAAGUCUUUUUGUUUGAAAAUCCACUAAGUUAGUAUAACCUUAUCAUGAAAACAUGUUUUUUGGUUUAUUUGUGUAUUUUUGAAAAAGAUUUUUAAAACAAUGACAUCUUUUUUAUCACACAGUAGUUGAAUCGAUAGCGUCCAAAAAUUGUGAAUCAAAAAUAAGAAGCCUAAAUGGUGUUACGUAUUUUCUUUUGCAUUAUUAAAUCUUUAUAGAACUGUCGUAUAAGGUUUCAUUUUCCGCUUAAUGGCCAAACACUCCAAAAUUACAGGAGGCUGACAGAGAAUGUACUAUUCUGAUGCAUCAUUGUCCAUUGCCCUGGCCGAAUCCCAAUGUUGAGAUAAAUGGGUGUAAACAAAUGUCACGUAAAAAUAAAUAUUCUUGACACUGAGCAGAAUAGUGUGUCUAAGAUAAAACACGGAGGCUUCCCAAAUUGACUGGAGCUAAUGAGUUGUCUUUGUUACAAAUAGCUCUGGGAAAGUAAGUCAGAAGAAAGAAGGAACAUUUUCUGCAGCCAACAAACAUGGUGUACCAGAGGAUUCUGCAGUUGACUAAGUAUGUUGCUUUACUGGUGUUCCUUGGUCACAUCUCCUGUUCCGAGAUUGAGAACCGAUCUGUGUCAGACUCAUGUUCAACACACACAAUUUUACCUGGACCCAAAGGUGAGAGAUUGCGGAAUAUGCUCAUAGUUUGCAACUAUAUGUUUGAUGAUCAAUAAAAAAAAGGAACAGAACGUCACACUGUAAUACUGUAAAUGUAACACUGAUCUGCAGUGAAUAGUUACAAAUGAUCAGAGAUUCAUCACCUAAAAAAUGUAAUUUGAUCUUCAAUCCAGUUUUAAAAAUCCAUUUGUACAUCGCUUCAAUAGUUUCAUUUUUUUAACAUAGAACUGUUUAUUGUUUUUGCCACCUCUUGUGCUUUUAAAGCAGAGAUGGCCAAAAUGUAGAUCCCCAGCUGCUGUAACCCCCAAGAUACUUUGCCAGCCUUAAACCUUAAAAAGCACUACAAUACUUGUAAUUCUCAUUCUCUGCUCAACUUGCAUAUUUUCAAUUUGUGAAACUUGUUCUUUAACCCCUUAAGGACACAUGACAUGUCAUGAUUCCCUUUUAUUCCAGAAGUUUGGUCCUUAAGGGGUUAAAUGGUUCCUACAUUGGAAUAGAGGAAGGAUCAUUGACAUACACAAAAGAUGUGCUGCUUAUGCUCGGGCAAAUCCUAAUGCAGAGCUGCUCCCUCCUAGCCCCCAAGUGAAAAUGUAACUUUUAUCCCUAAAAUAAAACGUAUUAUUCUCUGCCUAUUUUUUUACGUUAAUAAGUAUAGAUACUGUGUAACGGGAUGCUUACUGCAGUUUUAGCCUCAGUACAAAUUACAGAAGCAUACUUAGAACCCUCACAAAAUAUCUCUGUAAGAAAUAUUAUUAUCAGAAAGCAAUAGUAGUUAUUCUGUAGUUAUAAUGAACCACAGUAUUAAUCGAUCAUUAGAACGAUAUGUCAUGCAUUAUAUUUGUGUUUAGUAGAUAUGAUCAUUUUGUUUUCUCAAAGUAAUUGCAAAUGGUCGUUAAACAUCGCCUAGAGCAUCUCCACACGCCAGCUAAUAACAUAUCCAUAUGUUGCUCUCCCUAUUUAAUGAUACCCAUUCAGGGCAGUAUAAGGGCCUGGGGAUUUACAGUACAAUGCAACCUAAUGUAAGAAAGUAGGAAUCACAGAUACACUCAGUUAGCAAAGUAACAAGUAAGAGACAAUGGGCCAGUUGGAAAUAUGAUCUCCACGGCUCACCCUCGACUCUUUGCUAUAUUUUUACGAUGGUCAACUCAGGCCUCCACCCGUUAGGAAAUAUGAACAUGCUUGUGUUAUUUUCCAUUAAACAUCUAUGGGAAAUAACACACAAGCACUCCACUUAAUGGCAUUAUGGCUAUUAAAUGAGCUUAAUUGGCAAAAAAGUAUCAGUUUUAGAACAGCGGUGAAGGAGAUUGUACAUCCCUAAUCUAACUCUAACUUAACACGAGGAGCACCAAAACACAACUCUGAAAGUACUGGAAUAAAACACGUACAUACAUACACUGAUUCUUUCACGGCAAAGCAUGUAUCUUGUUAGUGCUUGGAAUUUCACUGUCUCCUCAAUGUUAUAUAAUUUGAAGGGAGAAUAAUACCAAUAUUUUUUUUAUUUUUUUUUUAACUAAAAAGAUCUUUCAAUGGUGGCGGUUACUUUUGUAUUGUGGGAAGAGGUUCAUAAUGGUGAUGACUGUAAGGCAUUGGACAUCUGGCGAAUGUGUGUGAGAGCAAUAUGUGUCACUUUACUAAUUAUAAUGUGAGGAGUGAUCUGUCAGCUGGUCACUAUGCCAUGUGGCUACCCAAUCCCAUGUGGGAAUUGGUGAGUCUAAAAAAUCAAAACACAAAUUAAAUGUCACUGGGAAUCUAUAAUUAACUAAAACGGGUUAAGCAACCUCUGGCACUUCUGAUGUUGUGGACUACAUCUCCCAGAAUGCUCUUACAGCUAUACUGCUGACAGAGCAUAGGUUUAGAUGUAGUCAACAAUAUCUGGAGCCCCUAGAGUAAUCUACAGCCUCUUCCUGUGUCUGUCCUUUGCCCUCUGAAAGAGCAGUUAUUUAGUCAAUGUGGAAACUAUGCAGAGGGAACCGCUCUGCUGUUAAGAAAGCGAGCAAUGAGAACGUACACUGAGGAUAUAUAGAUAUAUAGUGAGCGAUCUGCAGCUGAUAUAACGUUAAUAUUAAAUAUGGACACAAUGAUGUUGAUUGACACUUCCAUCAUUCAGAAAAAAAUAUAGAGGGUGUGUCAAUGGAACCCACUAAAUCGUAGCAACAUAGUUUCAUAGUUGAUAGCUGAUAUGAGACGUGUCCAUCAAGUUCAGCCUUUCUCACAUAUGUUUUUGCCGCUGAUCCAAAAGAAGGCAAAAAAAAAACCCAGUGCGAAGUGCUUCAAAUUUUGCGACAAACUAGGAAAAAAUUCCUUCUUGGUGCCAAAAUGGCAGUCAGAUAACUCCUUGGAUCAAUAAGCUAUUACCCCAUCUUCCCUAUUCAUCAUAUGCUAUUCAUGCUUGCGUAAUUCGCGACAUGGAAGAAAUAGAGGAUACUUCUGAAAUGCUUUCAUUUAAAAUAAGAUUUGUCUAAUUUCUAAUUAGUAUUUAAUGUAUAGGCAAAUAUUGUUUUUUAACAGUGGAAUAAGACCUGGAGCCAGUUUUUUGAGGAAGGGAUUAACACUCAGAAUUUUAUGGGUAACUUUGAAUAGGGCAAAAAAAAAUAGAUCAUUUUGGCACAAUGGGUGUAUGAUUAGGGCCCAGACAAAGAUACAUUCUCCAAAAACAUUGUGUUCUUUGUUGUAAGCUGCGGUGUACGACAGCAUCCUGAGAGACUGCUGCACUGAUCCAAUUUGUGGCUAAUCUUGCACAUUGCUGAUGUUUGACUUCCCAAGCAAUGUACUGACUCCCUGUUGUGUUCUUCAGAAUUCAGAGAAUGCUGAAUUGAUUUUCAUAUUUUAAAGAAAGAUCAACAGAUGUCUUCUAUUUUACAUGCACAAAUAAAAGUGGUUAUCAGGAGCUCAAAGAAGCCAGUGCUUUUGGUAGGUGGUGAUUUAAAGAACAGGUGUAUAAAGAUGUAAUAAUUCUGCUUCUUCUUUUGGAAGCUUCAGUAGUAGUAAUUAACCCCUUAAGGACACAUGACGGAAAUAUUCCAUUAUGAUUCCCUUUUAUUCCAGAAGUUGUGUCCUUAAGGGGUUAAAAUAGUUUAAAAUAGAGAACCUUGCUUUUAACAAACAUCUCUUUACCAAUUGUACAUAGGAAAAUGUUGUACAUGAAAGCGGCAAAUAGAGAUAUACUUUUAGAUAUUUAUUAAGGCCUCAAUCUAGGUACAGAAUAAAGAUCCAUGAAUACAAGUGUUUUUGGAAACUGAACAAUGUAUAGAUAAUGGUUUAUUUUUAUUAAUGUAUACAUAAGUCACAGCUAUGUAUUAUAACUGGCAUUUACAUGUACACAAAAAUGCAUUAUGUGUAAUGCCGCACACAACACUGAAAAGGUUGAUAUAGCUAAGGGAGGUUACCUGUGUGGGUUUAGGGCUUUUUGGCAAAGUUUAACCUUUAUUAUUUCAGUUUUAACGUUAGGUUGAUCUUUUUCAAAAGAUCAUGUGUGCGCUUGCCGCCUGGAUUCAAUAACAAUGUAAAGAAAAAAAAUAAAGGUUUAUUUUAACACAAAGAACAAUAUUCAGUAUGGCCCAUUAGGAGGCAAUUAUCCUGUUUUUUUUUUUAAAUUAUAUAUUUUUUAUAAUUUGUCAUGUAUUUCAAUUUUCUUGCAGAUUUUAAUUAUCUCUAUUAUCAUUAAUGUUUUCAUUUUGACCUUCAAUCAUUAUAUUAACAAUCUAAAAUCCACCUAUCUUUUGUGUCUAUCGCUUUCAAAUCCGUUCAACCUUUAUAUUAUAAAAACUGAAUAAUAGGCUUCUAAUUGGCAUGGACUUCCUGUGGGCAUAAUGGACAUUUGACAUCAUCAACACAUUCGAAUUCUGGUUUAUUUUUUUCCUACACAGUGGAAUGUUACCAGACAUCCACAUUGAAAGGCAAUUAUAUUUGUAUACGAUAAUGGCAGCUACAUUUCCUAUCUUUCUUGGAUAUUUGAAGACAAUAUUAAUUUGUUAGAAAUAUUUUUAAAUAUCUUUUUAUAAAAUGUUUUAUGACAGAGUAACGUUCCCAUUUUUUUGUGUGUGCUAUUAAGUAAUACGUGUAGCUAGAAUUUUUAUUCUUCUAUCGGAACAGUACGUAUAAGACUCUGCAAAAAAAUAUCUUGUAACAAAGUGCAAUGUGCCAGUAUGCCCACACUUCCUAAAUGAAUAUGUGAUUAUAAAUCCACAUCCGUGCACCUCCUCCAAUUUUAAACCAACGCUCCUUUUCUCUGCCUGACACCAAGCUUUGAUCUGGGAGAACUUAUAAUUUCUACAAUUUGUUUUGGACCUCAGCUUCAACACAUAUCCAAUUAACUCUUUACUUUUCUUACCUCAUAUUAUUUUCAGUAAAUUUCCUGUUUUUUUUAAUAUUACUUAAAGAAGAGUUUCAGAAAAAAAUGAUUCAGUUAGACGCCACUUAUGUGCUCCUUUUAGUAAGUGGUGUUAGAAAGCCCAAACAGAAACUGCAGUAUGAUGGGAAUGAUGAGAUAAAAAUGGCCAGAUACAUUCUCACUUAAACACUGUAUCUAUUGAAAUUCAACUAAAUUGCACCUUUGGAUAGAACACAAUUGACAAUCCAUGAAAAUAAAGAUAGAAUGCUAUGGCCUAAAUACAAUGAAAUGGGUGGACUUUUUUUGCAAUUAAAUAUUAAAUAUAUUGAAUAAUAUUACACAAUAAUUAUACCUGCAAACCUCUUAAAACAUGUGCUGUCAUUUAUAAAAUUAAUUGUUGGUUGAUCGCUGACUUUGGUUAUUUAAUGUGAAUAUCAAAUUGAAGGCUAAAGUAGCUAAACUCAGCUAAUGCUUUACAAUUAUGCAAAGCAUAAAUUCAAAUAGUAAAAACAUACUCUUGCAUUUGCUGUAUUUCCCCAGGAUUUGCAGCAUCUGAAGUGAGCUGAGGUGAAUGCUGAUCAAAUCCUGUAUAGGAUCUGUUAGACAUUCAGCUUCUCCUGAAAUCAGCAUAGGGUUAGUUAGGAUAAGUUAGAUGUAUUAAUAUAUGUCCUGAAUGGUGUACAGACAGCUUAGCUUUAUUUAUAGUUUUUAGGAUUUCACAAGAAUGCUGAAAUUUGAAAAAUUACCAUAGAAAUGUUCAGCCUAACUAACUAUACCCUAAUUUAAACAUUAAUAUUAAUGAAGCAUAGUUUAUAUGCCAUAGUGUAGCUAAGGAAAUGGUGGAAUCUAUCAUUCAGGCUGUUUUAGAAGCAAAAGGGGGUCCUGUCUUGGGCUGGCUCUAUCAGGGGGUCACAGUUUGUCCAUUGGACAAUUGAGAGGGACCUAUUCCCAAUUUAUGUUGGGUUUUUUAAAAUAAAUAUAUUUAGAUUUAGCAUUAAAGUGUUCCUGUUAGUGUUUAUGUUCAGAUAAAAAAGAAACAAAUAUAUAUGAUAAAUCUCUAUAAAACUCACUUGUAUUCCAGCCCCAUGGUUAGCCUCUACAGAGCCACUCUGCCCCCAACAAAAUCAACGGUUCUGAUUACUGUAACCCAGUCUCUUUGUCUAAUUUGUCAAAAGCAACACAAAUGUGGAAGCAUAUGGAGUAACAGCAGGAAAGAGAUACAGAUUAAUAUUUGAAAAUAUACAGGGAGUGCAGAAUUAUUAGGCAAAUGAGUAUUUUGACCACAUGAUCCUCUUUAUGCAUGUUGUCUUACUCCAAGCUGUAUAGGCUCGAAAGCCUACUACCAAUUAAGCAUAUUAGGUGAUGUGCAUCUCUGUAAUGAGAAGGGGUGUGGUCUAAUGACAUCAACACCCUAUAUCAGGUGUGCAUAAUUAUUAGGCAACUUCCUUUCCUUUGGCAAAAUGGGUCAAAAGAAGGACUUGACAGGCUCAGAAAAGUCAAAAAUAUUGAGAUAUCUUGCAGAGGGAUGCAGCACUCUUAAAAUUGCAAAGCUUCUGAAGCGUGAUCAUCGAACAAUCAAGCGUUUCAUUCAAAAUAGUCAACAGGUAGUGAUGUCGCGAACCCGAAAUUUUCGGUUCGCGAACGGCGAACGCGAACUUCCGCAAAUGUUCGCGAACCGGCGAACCGCCCGAAACGCCAUUGACUUCAAUGGGGAGGCGAAUUUUAAAACACACAGGGACUCUUUCUGGCCACAAUAGGGAUGGAAAAGUUGUUUCAAGGGGACUAACACCUGACUGUGGCAUGCCGGAGGGGGAUCCAUGGCAAAACUCCCAUGGAAAAUUACACAGUUGAUGCAGAGUCUGGUUUUAAUCCAUAAAGGGCAGAAAUCACCUAACAUUCCUAAAUCACAAUGAAUAUGGAUUGACACCUGACAUAUGACAUAUUGACACCUUGACAUAUGGAUUGACACCUGUCCUCAGAGCCCCUGAUGCACACGGACACAGAGCAGAAUAGGGACUGUUCCCCCUACAUAGGGUCACUUGGCAGAUAUGGAUUGACACCUGUUUACAAACUGCUAUUUGUAACGGGCCCUUUAAAUGGCAAAUUGCCCUGUUUCCCUGGGUUGUGGAGAAGCCUCUUUGCCAGCCUCCUCCCGCAUGACUAUGGCCCCUGGGAGAUUGUGAAAAUGUAUGCACUUUAUUUGGUGUGUAUGGCCCUUUAAGACUGUCGGUGGGCAUAUUGGGGCUUAUGGACUCUUUAUGUGACUGGUGCUGGCCCUUUAAACACCUUUUUUGGGACAUCAGGAAGAUUGGGACACUGCCCCUUUAAGGCCGUGUCCCCAGACUUGUUGGGGACACGGCCCUUUAAGACGGUGUCCCCUGUGUCCCCAGACCUGGUGCAAACCCUUUGUGCCUGCCUUGCUAUUUCCCACUUGGUUCAGUAAAUGGGAAAUUAUUUCAGCUGCAGAGACUAAGUCCCAUUCGGCGAUGGGACUUAGUCUUUUUUCAGCCGUUUUUUUCAGCCUUAUUUCAGCUGCAGAGACUAAGUCCCAUUCGGCGAUGGGACUUAGUCUUUUUUUCAGCCGUUUUUUUCAGCCUUAUUUCAGCUGCAGAGACUAAGUCCCAUUCGCCAUGGGACUUAGUCGUUUUUUCAGCCGUUUUUCAGCCUUCCCUAUUUCAGUUGGGUAGAGACUAAGUCCCAUUCAAGCAUAAAUUUAGUCUUUUUUCAGCCGCUUUUUUCUAGCCUUAUUUCUUAGUUGCAGAGACUAAGUCCCAUUCGGCGAUGGGACUUAGUCUUUUUUUCAGCCGUUUUUUCAGCCUUAUUUCAGCUGCAGAGACUAAGUCCCAUUCGGCGAUGGGACUUAGUCUUUUUUUCAGCCGUUUUUUUCAGCCUUAUUUCAGCUGCAGAGACUAAGUCCCAUUCGCGAUGGGACUUAGUCGUUUUUUCAGCCUGAAAUAGACCGAACUCACAGCCCAAAUCUAUGGAACUGUUUUGGGCAGGAAAAUGUGCUUGCAGUCGGUCAUAAAGGGACCUACAGCUAAUUUUUUAACCCCUGGAUGGAUUUGGCUGAUUUUUUGGCUAUGUUUAUGUUUUAAGUGUGCUGAUUCCAAAUAUGUAAUUAUGAAGAUGGGAUGUGUAGUUUUAAAGUUACAGGGUAUGGCUAAAAACUGCAUUUUUACUGCCUGUGUUUAAUUAUGUUAAUCUCUUCCCAAACGUCAUUUCGUUCAAAGUGGAGAGAAUGUUAAAAAAAUAUAUUUUUGUUCGGAGUGUGAGAAAUGCUUUCAGCCGCUUCUAAUCUUAAGCAUCAUUUGAGGAGCCAUACAGGAGAGAAACCUUAUUAGUGGUGUGUUUAGUAUUGUUCUGAUCAGUUUAAUACCUUCCCGCUGCCUCUAUCAGUGGACGCGGUAUAUGUGGUAAGCGCCAUUUAGGAACCGUGACACCUGGGACCCUCGGUGCAAGGUCACUGCUCAACAGGCUUACAACAUUUGUCCCUGAAAACUAUCCUGACAUUCUGGCAGGCCAAUUUGUAUGGAUAUGGCAUUGAUUUUCGUAACAGGGAGAUGGAAGAAGAGGCUUGGUCGGUCCUCUUACUGCAAAUUUGGGGCACUGCGCGGUCAAGCUAAUGUGACACCAGAUAGGAGUGGUGUGUUUAGUACUAUUUUUAUCAGUUUAAUACCUUCCGCUGUCCUAUCAGUGGUCCUGAUACACNNNNNNNNNNNNNNNNNNNNNNNNNNNNNNNNNNNNNNNNNNNNNNNNNNNNNNNNNNNNNNNNNNNNNNNNNNNNNNNNNNNNNNNNNNNNNNNNNNNNGCGCAGUGCCUCAAAUUUAAUGUGAUCUGUGAGUAGGGUAAACGGUUGUCCAUACAAGUAGGUUGCAGCUUUUUGAGGGCCCACACCACCGCCAUGCACUCCUUUUCAAUGGCAGUGAAUAUACUUCGCUGUGCAAAAGUUUACGGCUUAGAUAAAAUCAAUGCCGUGUACACGUCCACUGAUAGGAGACGCGGAAGGUAUUAAACUGAUCAGAACAAUACUAAACACACCACUCCUUUUUUUUGGUGAGGCUUUACAGGACAGAGUGCUUCUCCACGGGACAUGUUAACUCACGGGCAGCUGGCUCAUCAAGGAACCACAGCAGCUUUCCAUGUACAGGUAAGACACGUGCAGCCGGUAAGGGUUCAGGCUCUUCUUCCUGGAGGAUACGCUGCAAGCCUGUUGAACGAGGUGACCUUGCUCGGGUCCCAGGUGUACGGUUCCUAAAAUGGCUGCCAUAUACACGUCCACUGAUAGGAGACGCGGAAGGUAUUAAACUGAUCAGAACAAUACUAAACACACCACAAUAAGGUUUCUCUCCUGUAUGGCUCCUCAAAUGAUGCUUAAGAUUAGAAGCGGCUGAAAAGCAUUUCUCACACUCGAACAAAAAUAUAUUUUUUAACAUUCUCUCCACUUUGAGCGAAAUGGCGUUUGGGAAGAGAUUAACAUAAUUAAACACAGGCAGUAAAAAUACAGUUUUUAGCCAUACCCUGUAACUUUAAAACUACAUCCCAUCUUCAUAAUUACAUAUUUGGAAUCAGCACACUUAAAACAUAAACAUAACCAAAAAUCAGCCAAAUCCAUCCAGGGGUUAAAAAGUUAGCUGGAGGUCCCUUUAUGACCGACCGCAAGCACAUUUUCCUGCCCAAAACAGUUCCAUAGAUUUGGGCUGUGAGGUCGGUCUAUUUCAGGCUGAAAAAACGACUAAGUCCCAUCGCCGAAUGGGACUUAGUCUCUGCAGCUGAAAUAAGGCUGAAAAAAACGGCUGAAAAAAAGACUAAGUCCCAUCGCCGAAUGGGACUUAGUCUCUGCAGCUGAAAUAAUUUCCCAUUUACUGAACCAAGUGGGAAAUAGCAAGGCAGGCACAAAGGGUUUGCACCAGGUCUGGGGACACAGGGGACACCGUCUUAAAGGGGCCGUGUCCCCAACAAGUCUGGGGACACGGCCUUAAAGGGGCAGUGUCCCAAUCUUCCUGAUGUCCCAAAAAAGGUGUUUAAAGGGCCAGCACCAGUCACAUAAAGAGUCCAUAAGCCCCAAUAUGCCCACCGACAGUCUUAAAGGGCCAUACACACCAAAUAAAAGUGCAUACAUUUUCACAAUCUCCCAGGGGCCAUAGUCAUGCGGGAGGAGGCUGGCAAAUAGGCUUCUCCACAACCCAGGGAAGCAGGGCAAUUUGCCAUUUAAAGGGCCGUUACAAAUAGCAGUUUGUAACAAGGUGUCAAUCCAUAUCUGCCAAGUGACCCGAUGUAGGGGGACCAGUCCCUAUUCUGCUCUGUGUCAGUGUCUAUCAGGGAACCUUAGGACAGGUGUCAAUCCAUAUCUGCCAAGUGACCCGAUGUAGGGGGAACAGUCCCUAUUCUGCUCUGUGUCAGUGUGUAUCAGGGAUCCUUAGGACAGGUGUCAAUCCAUAUCUGCCAAGUGACCCUAUGUAGGGGGACCAGUCUCUAUUCUGCUCUGUGUCCGUGUGCAUCAGGGGCUCUGAGGACAGGUGUCAAUCCAUAUAUCAAGGUGUCAAUAUGUCAUAUGUCAGGUGUCAAUCCAUAUUGAUUGUGAUUUAGGAAUGUUAGGUGAUUUCUGCCCUUUAUGGAUUAAAACCAGACUCUGUAUCAACUGUGUAAUUUUCCAUGGGAGUUUUGCCAUGGAUCCCCCUCCGGCAUGCCACAGUCCAGGUGUUAGUCCCCUUGAAACAACUUUUCCAUCCCUAUUGUGGCCAGAAAGAGUCCCUGUGUGUUUUAAAAUUCGCCUCCCCAUUGAAGUCAAUGGCGUUUCGGGCGGUUCGCCGGUUCGCGAACAUUUGCGGAAGUUCGCGUUCGCCGUUCGCAAACCGAAAAUUUCGGGUUCGCGACAUCACUACAUAUAUACCUUGCUAUAAGAUCUUUAUAAACAGUACAUUAGCCAUCAUACAUAAUUUCCCCUUAUUCCUGACCCUAUAGUGUUAAAACCACCAUCAAGAUCUCCUGACCCCCACCUGCUCCUCUAAAUAGCAAAAUCCUGCUUGUAUUCCAGUCUGCUGCUAUUGGCUCUACUCCUGUUCUGCCUGCUUGACUGACAUCAUCAGAUGUGGGGUUCUGAGCCAAUCACAAUGCUUUCACAUAGGAAAUCAUUAGAUUGACGGAGAACGUCAAGGAAGCAGAUCAGGGGCAUAGCCAGCACUACCCCAGGAAGCAUCUCUAGCAGCCAUCUGAGGAGUAGCCAGUGGAGGUAUCCCUAGGUUGUAAUGUAAACACUGCAUUUUCUCUGUAAACUCAGUGUCUACUGCAGAAAGCCUGAAGGGAAUGAUUGUACUCAGGACAAAUACAAUAAACUGCAGUCGUUCUGCUGACUAUAUUGUCCCUUUAAGAUACCUUGUAUGAAAUCUGGCAAUGAUAAUAUUAGUGCUGCGUUAUCUAUUAAGGUGUGGUUAGGGUUAGGUCUAAUGACGAAGUAUGAUUCUCACGAGUAGAUAUAAUGUUAUGAAUAAAUGUUUCAUCUCAUUCUAAAAUGUAAUUGGGGAAAUUUAGUGCAGCUUCCUACUGGAGUCAAAUAAAAGUUAAGUAUUAACUUUAUUAUUCCGGUAUUUUUUGUGCUACAACAUGUAAUGUGGGGAUUGCCUUCUAUGCGCAAACCAUUUUGUUUUGUAAUCUUUAAAUUCUGCUUUCUGAUGAGACCUAAUCUUUAUUUAUUAAUGACAAUGACUCCACAUUAAUUUUGACCUACUACUUAAUUACUUCAUUGUGUGAAUCUACCCAAUGUUAGUUUGAUAACUCGACAGCACCCUCUGCUGACUAAAUAGAAAUGUGUACAUUUAUUUAAUGCGGGUAUGCAAAUUAGAGCCAGCAAAUAAGUAAUUAAAUGUAUGUAUUGUUGCUUUUUAUUGUUUGAAAAAGAACUUGUAUGAUGCAUUUUUAACUGUUAAUUCUAAUUGCUUGUUAUCCAAUGUUCUGCAUGUUUAUAUUUUACAUGAUUUUCACCACAUAUUUAAGGACACGUCACCAAAGAUAGUACUUGUCCAAAAAUAAAGAAUUGUGUGUUAGUUCAAUUUGGGAACUGUGUGUCCUGUCUGGUUUGUUCAGAGAUCCCUGUAACAGAGUUUUCAGACCUAUUGGCUGGCUGCACUGGUCCCUGUUUACGAGAUUCUCCCCUGCCGGCUAAUGCACGGCGGGCACUGUCCAAGUGCCAGCCCUGCAAUGUGCCUUCAUGGACCGGUAAAGGUAAGAAGAGAGGGGGGACAUAAAUGUAUUUAUGUAAUUAAAUAAAUUUAAAAAAAUUAUUUAAAAAAAACCCUACCCUCCUUCCCCCCUCAUGCACACACUGCCCCCCCAUACACACACACACACACAGUGCCCCACAAACACUGCACCCAUACAUACACUGCCUCACACACACACUGCACACCCCCCCACACACACUGCCCCACAAACACACUGCCCCCCCACACACACACUGCCCCACAAACACUGCCACCCAUACAUACACUGCCUCACACACACCCACUGCAUGCCCAUACACAUACUGCCCCACAAACACUGCCAUCCAUACACACACUGCCCCACAAACACUGCCACCCAUACACACACUGCCUCACACACACACUGCACACCCAUACAUACACUGCCCCACAAACACUGCCACCCAUACACACACACUGCACACCCAUAGACACAUUGCCCCCCACACACAUACACUGCACACCCAUAUACACAUUGCCCCACACACACGUCCCCCCAUGCACACGACCCCCCCAUACACACACUGCCCCACACAUACAUACAGUGCCCCACACAUACAUACAGUGCCCCCAUACACACAUACAAGAGCCCUAGACUUUUUAGAACGCCUUCAUGGCACCCCCCACCUGGGCCAUUAACUUAUGAGGUAAGUAUCCUUAAUUUUUUGAAUGACUGUUUCAACGGAAGGGGUCUCCUUUUAAGCCAAACAUGUGCUAGAGCCCUCCUAGCUGCCAGAUUCAACUUGUGUACAAACUUUUGUUAUGUUUUCGUCCAAUCUUCCAUGGGUCUAGCUAACAAAAACACCCAAAGAUCUAAUUUAACAUCUUUAUCGAGAAUAUCCCUCGGCAAAUCAUUGUUUUUUUUCCAGUAUAUUUGCACAUCUGGGCAUUCUCACCACAUGUGGAUGCAAGGCCCCUUUUGUCCACACCCUCUCCAACACAAAUCCGUGGGGAUCUUAUGCAUUGUAUAUAAUUUGACAGGGGUGGUGUACCAACGAAACAUGGUCUUAUAUGACUGUUCCUGCAAGGGGACACAUAUAGAUGAUGCCGCCUUUGCUUCCCAUAUUUCCUGACACUCAACCCCCUCUAGCGGUUCACCUAGGUCAGCUUCCCAUUGGUCAGUAUAUGUCAACUCUCCCCAUUCUAAGAUAGUGGUGCUAAGGUGGGCGUAUAGAACAGAAAUCAAGCCCCUCUGGAAUUGCUCCCGAGAACUUUUCGAAAAACAUGAGCUGUUGUAAUGCAGCCUUCCUGACCUGGGCAUACUGAGCAUAGUCCCUAAGCUGGAUGUAUCUAAAGAAAUCAGAAGUUUAUAGGGUAGCCCUAGUUUUCAGCUCAAAGGUUAUGAAAGAGACUCAAAUUGAGGUCAAAGUGCUGAUGAGACCUAAUCUUUAUUUAUUAAUGACAAUGACUCCACAUUAAUUUUGACCUACUACUUAAUUACUUCAUUGUGUGAAUCUACCCAAUGUUAGUUUGAUAACUCGACAGCACCCUCUGCUGACUAAAUAGAAAUGUGUACAUUUAUUUAAUGCGGGUAUGCAAAUUAGAGCCAGCAAAUAAGUAGUUAAAUGUAUGUAUUGUUGCUUUUUAUUGUUUGAAAAAGAACUUGUAUGAUGCAUUUUUAACUGUUAAUUCUAAUUGCUUGUUAUCCAAUGUUCUGCAUGUUUAUAUUUUACAUGAUUUUCACCACAUAUUUAAGGACACGUCACCAAAGAUAGUACUUGUCCAAAAAUAAAGAAUUGUGUGUUAGUUCAAUUUGGGAACUGUGUGUCCUGUCUGGUUUGUUCAGAGAUCCCUGUAACAGAGUUUUCAGACCUAUUGGCUGGCUGCACUGGUCCCUGUUUACGAGAUUCUCCCCUGCCGGCUAAUGCACGGCGGGCACUGUCCAAGUGCCAGCCCUGCAAUGUGCCUUCAUGGACCGGUAAAGGUAAGAAGAGAGGGGGGACAUAAAUGUAUUUAUGUAAUUAAAUAAAUAAAUAAAAAUUAUUUAAAAAAAACCCUACCCUCCUUCCCCCCUCAUGCACACACUGCCCCCCCAUACACACACACACACACAGUGCCCCACAAACACUGUUGCUUUUUUUAAACCUUUAAAAUUGUGUGCUCUCAAACCUGGGGGGGGGGGGGAGAGGGGAUGCGGAACAAACAAAGCUGUAUUCUCAAGCAACAGAAUCCCACAGUGAGUUUAAGAUUUAGGAUAACCUGUUCGAAGGGAAGGUUGAUGGUCUUUCGGUACCCACAUGAAAAACUUUGGUAGGUCUGAACCCAUUAGUUAAGAUGCUAGAUUCUUUCCUCUGGGGUAGAAUGCCACAGGGCAAUCUGGGUUAAUUGGGCCGCUAAGUAUUAGAAAUAUAAAUUUGUUAGGCUUCGUCUUGCCCUGUAGAGAAUGUUGCCGGAAACUGUUUAUUUUGCCAUAUCAAGUUGCCUUUAGCCUGUUGAAGAGUGGUCAGGUUGGAUUUGGAUAUCUGGACUGGUAAGGCUUGGAAUAGAAACAGUAUUCUAGGCAACAAAUUCAUUUUUACAGAGUGGAUCCUGCCUAUCCAAGAGAUUGGCUUGUCAACCCACUUUUGCAUAUACUCUGUGAGGUUCCUGGACAUUGGAACGUAAUUUUUUGGGUAAAGUAGGGCAGGAUCCGCCGUCAGCCAAACACCCAAAUACUUAAUAUGAUGAGCUAGAUGGAUGUGGUAUGUCUGGCCAACGUGUGCCAUGUCCGCUGACGAUAGGCCUAUAGGAAGAGCACUUGACUUGUUCAAGUACACUUUGUAUCCUGCUAAUUUGCUGUAAGUCUCCAACACUCCUGUCAGUGCUGCCAUAGAUUCCUUAGGGCGUGUUAAGGUUAACAACACAUCUGCAAAGCCCGAGACUACAAAUUGCUGGCCUCCAACUGUUACCCCCCGUAUGUCCAGGUUGGAUCUAAUGGCUUUUAAAAGUAGCCCCAAAGAGAGGACAAACAGCGGGGCUGAUUGGGGCACCCUUCUGGUGCCAUUACUCAGUUGAAAUGGUGCGACCUGUGCCCCAGAUAUCCGGAUCUGCGCCCUAACAUUGGUAUAGAUAGCUAAAAUUGCUACGAUGAAUGAAUCAGAGAUGCCAACAAUUCAAACAGAUAAGACCAUUUAAACAAGCGACAGGAUCAAUGAUGGUGUGUUAGUGGCAACCAGUCUCCAUAUGAUAUCCACGUUGUAUCCGGUAUUUGCGAAUAGUUGCCUGCUGAAAUAAACCCAACUUGAUCCGUGUUAAUCAAAUGCGUUAACAUGGGGUUCAAUCUGUUAGCAAGAAUUUUUGCCAAAACCUUAGAAUUUUGGUUUAUUAGGGAAAUUGGUCAAAAGUUUGCUGGUUUAGAGUCAUCCUUAUCAGGUUUCGGCACCCGCUACAUUGGAAGAGGUUUCUGCUCUGCUCCAGUCCUCCCGCCCCACCACCUGCUCCCUAGAUCCAAUUCCCUCGCAUCUCAUCCGUACUCUGUCUUCUUCUCUUUCUCCACCUCUCACUAAAAUUCUCAAUCUCUCUCUCUCCCCUGGUAUAUUUCCAUUGCCCUUCAAACAUGCAACUGUAACCCCAAUUCUAAAGAAGCCCAAUCUUGACCCUAACUCCCCAUCCAACUAUCGUCCUAUCUCGCUACUGCCUUUUGCAUUCAAGAUCCUUGAAAAAAUUGUGUAUGCUAGAUUGACAGACUUCCUCGAGUCCAACUCUCUGCUAGACCCGCUUCAGUCUGGUUUCCGCGCUAAGCACUCUGUGGAAACGGCACUGACCAAAGUAUCCAAUGAUCUACUCGCUGCAAAAUCUCGUGGUCACUACUCUAUCCUACUUCUCCUUGACCUGUCUGCGGCUUUUGACACUGUUGAUCAUCAACUGCUUCUUCUCAUCCUCCGCAAUAUCGGUCUACAAGAUACUGCUCUCUCCUGGUGCUCCUCCUACCUCUCCCAGCGCUCUUUCAGUGUUUCUUUCUCUGGCUCUGCUUCUUCUCCCCAACUCCUCUCUGUUGGUGUCCCCAAGGUUCAGUCCUUGGUCCCCUACUGUUCUCCAUCUAUACUGCCUCCCUUGGUAAACUAAUUAGCUCCUUUGGCUUGCAAUAUCAUUUCUAUGCAGAUGACACGCAAAUCUACCUGUCCUCUCCUGAUCUCUCCCCAUCCCUCUCGACUAGUGUCUCUGACUGCCUCUCUGCUGUUUCUAACUAGAUGGCUGCCCACUUCCUUAAACUAAACUUGACCAAAACUGAAAUUCUGGUCUUUCCUCCCUCAAGUGUUGUUACUCCUGUGUCUGUCUCCCUCCAAGUCAACGGUGCUACCAUCAGCUCCACCACGCAGGCUCACUACCUAGGUGUUCUCUUUGACUCCGACCUCUCCUUCAAGCCUCAUGUUCAAUCUAUCGCCAAAUCCUGUCAUUUCCAUCUCAAAAACAUUGCACCCAUCCGCCCCUACUUAACGCCAGAUGCGACUAAGGUGUUGGUCCAUUCCACUGUCCUUUCUCGCCUUGACUGCUGUAAUCCGCUUCUCAGUGGUCUUACGUGCUCCCAACUAGCGCCGUUACAGUCCAUAAUGAAUGCGGCGGCGAGGCUCAUCUUCCUGUCCGCCCGCACCUCCCAUGCCUCACCCUUCUGUCAGUCCCUACAUUGGCUUCCUAUAAAAUAUAGAGCUCAAUUUAAAAUUCUGGUUCUUGCCUUCAAAUCUCUACAUAAUGCUGCUCCCAGCUAUCUAUCCUCCCUUAUACACAAGUAUGUCCCGUCUAGGCCCUUACGAUCUGCUGAAGACUUACAUCUAUCUUCUGUCCGUACUCUCACCUCUGAUAUUUGCCUUCAAGAUUUCUUGAGGGCUGCACCGUUCCUGUGGAACUCACUUCCCUCCUCCAUUAGAUGCUCACCCAGUCUCCACUCCUUCAAAAAAUCGUUAAAAAUCCACUUCUUCAUAAAAGCGUAUGAAUUAAACUGUUAAUAGCUCCUGACUGAUUCCUCUUCUGCAACUGUCACUAGUCUAAUACUAUAUUUACUUUUUGUGUCAUUUUACCCCACUCCCUCUAGCAUGUAAGCUCAUUGAGCAGGGCCCUCAACCCCUCUGUUCCUGUGUGUCCAACUUGUCUGGUUACAACUAUAUGUCUGUUCGUCCACCCAUUGUAAAGCGCCUCAGAAUUUGACGGCGCUCUAUAAAUAUCAUCAUCAUAAUAAUAAUAAUAAUAAUAAUAAUAAUAACACUAUAUUUGCCAGAGACAUGUCUAUCAGGUAUAACCACUUCCAUGGUCAUUAAACCAGGACUCUAAGUGGGGUGACAAUUUGUCGCGAAACGUUUUAUAAUAACUGCCUUUGAAAUCCUAAAUAGGAGAUAUAUAAUACCAGCCUCAGGGAGUGCAAUCCUGCAGCUAUACUGCCCCCCACUCCCCCAGCAGCCCCCAGCAGGGAAAGGGAUGGGAAGGAAAGUAUAGGGCAAGAGAAAGUAGAGGAAAUAGGAAGACAAAAAAGAAACAAAGAAAAAAAAACAUUAACAGCCUGGUCUUACCAAUAGCCAGACAUGGGUGGGGCACAUGUCCCAGCCACUCCCGAACACCAUCAGCGCUCUGGAGCCGCGGGGACAUAGACCAACACUAUGGUGCACCACAAAGGUGCCAACAUAUAAACCAUCUGUUACACAGACAUACCCUUACAAUUGGGAAUAGGUCAAAAACAUAUCCCAAGGCCCAAAGCCACCCCAUUUAGAAAAAAGAUCCCAGCCCCUCACCACCCGUAAACUUCAGCAAUGCCCGUGCCCCCCCCCUCUCCCACACACCCCAAAGGCGGAGCACAUAAGAUUAGAGUAACAAUAUGCGGUUAGAAUGAUCUUAUAGAGGAAAAAGAUUUUCAUAACAUUCUCAAGAGGCAGCAAUAACCCCCCCCCCCACUCCCAAUACCCAUGUCCAGUGCCCACCUAACAAUAAUAAAACAAGCUGGAGGAUGGAUACACCCGAAACAAUAACCAUAAGUGUGGGCUCCUCACACCAAAACCCUGAACCACAAGGGCUGCCCCACCCAAUAGAACCCAGGCACGUGGUAAAAUAAUCUGAGCACCCCAUUCGUUCGAGCAUGGCCGCCAUACCCAGGCAAGAAAAUUGUCAGCAGCGGUGCCUCUGGAAAUCACGGGCCAUACGCUGAUGACAAGGCAGGGGUAGUAGUGGGGAUCGUUGCCAGAACGGGGUGCAGUAUGGAACCAAGUGAAGGAAUAUAUCCCAUUUAUGACACACUCCCCCUAUAGUUAAAGCUCAGUGAGCAUACAGCCUGCCAUAUCAAACACAAGAAUUCAAAAUGAAAAUAUAUGCGAUCCCAGAAAAACAAAACCCAAUACCUCCCCCGUCACCCUUGCUGUAAUAUGUUUUUGUGCGUGAUUUUUUUUAUUUUUAUUUUGUUUUCUCUGUCAUAUUUUUUCCUUUUUAAUGUUUUAAUUUUUUUUAGGGUCCUUCCUUUUUUAUGUUGUGUUUUUUUUUUUUGCGUUUUAGUCAUUUUGUCCCCCCUUUUCUUUUAUUUACGUAGCGGAGGUGUCACUGCUACAAAAGUCUCCCAGAGGUAGAGGGUAAGGGACCCCUGCGAAGUUUGCAGUUUUCUGAUAACGUUAGUAUGUUAUUUGUUGACAUUUUAAGCCUGCCCCAUGCUCAUGGUCGGCAAAAUAACACCAGGGUCCCACUCCUUGCCCCCCCAAGCACACGCCACAACCCAAGAUCAACCAUGCGCCCGCAAUGUCCCAGGAACAACAAGGCCUCUCCCAUCCAUGGGAAGUAAAACCCUAGCCAGCUCAAUCUUGGUAAGCAAUCCCACCACAACUGUCACCCCAUAUGGGCAUAACAACCCAGGUAGCCGCUUCGGACAGGCGGACGUUAACAAGCCCGUUGUGGGACAGACCCAAUUGGCCCACCACCCAACAAAGACAAAGCACCCCAGGUAGGCCCCCAGCAAGGCUAACCCCUCGCAGCCAGCAGACUACGACAAAGGCCCCUCUGCCAGCAGAUAUCACUCGCCCACGGUAUACCAAUCACGCGAGAGAGGGGAUGCAAUACCUCUGCCGAGGUGCUGGGGAACGCCAAAUCCGUUGGAACCAUCCAGGUGUAAAACUCGGGUGCACCCAUCUUUGAACUGGGUGGACUCCACCCGUUGUUCCAACAGCGCCAUCCUCAUGCCCAAGGCCUGGAUCUCUGCUUUAACUUUGUUGGUGGUUCUGGCUAUCUCCGUAGCUAGGUAAGUAGCCAAGAUCUGCACCGUGUCAGCCACUGGAGUGCCUGGUGCAGCACUAUUCUCAGUGCUACAUGGUGAUUGUGGUACCCUCGGGCUCGCCCUGCUACCAUCUUGGGAACCUGACCCCAUGGCUUGUGAGGCCAAGAACAGAUCAGAGACCGUAACAAACUGUUCCAGCUGCUUCUUGGGCUGUUUUUUCUGGGACCUCUUAUCCGUGCUGCGUCCCCCAGGUCAGUGUCAGAACCUGUCUGAAUGCAUUGCCGAAUCCUCGAGGUUACGUCCACGUUCAGCAAUUAACUCCGCCCGCAUGAUGACGCGCGGCUUCCCUGCUGUAUAGGGAAGACUCGUCUAAGUCUAAUUGCUUGGGGAUUUUGCCUUGUGAGGGGGACGCUCAUCUAAGCUCCUGAUUCUCAUCGGUUGUUACUCGAAUUAACUUUGUUCCUGCUUUCUCAAAAACUCCUAAUUCAGUGAUUCAUCAUCUCUCAAGUAUUCUGGAAGGAAGGAUUAACUACUGAAGAUCUUCUUCCUAAAAGCAACCUGAAUACAAAUAAGUAUAUCUUACUUUCUUUGAAGUAUCUCCUGCUUUCACCUUCUGGCUAACUAUUGCUGCAGGCUGCAAUUAACUCUUUAGUUCCAUCUCUACAAUUGACUCCUCGAUGUAUCACUGAUAUUGAUUACUAAUCCUGCUACAAUACCUUCCAUGGACAUUGUUUAAUAUUGCUUAUUGCCUUUGGACAAUAUCACUAAUAGCAAGCCUACUCUCUUUAAUUAUUGGGGACUAAUUUUCAUCUAUUGUUGCUGCUUAUGUCAAACCUCUGCCGAGAUUGUUUACUUCUGCCUGCUUCUGCUUCUACACUAAUACUAUGGAAAUGAAUUGCUUUUCCUUGUUACAAUCUCUGCUGAAGAACUACAGAUCUUGCUUAUAUUGCCUGCUACUAUAUCUGCAAUUAUACCUGUGGACUACAUUGUAUUCUAAUUAUUCUAAUCCUGCAAAAAAUACUUAAAAUGCUUCUUUACGUCUGCAUAGUAUGCCAAUGACCUAAUGCUAUUUGUUUAAUUAUCUCUGCGAGACUGAGAGUUAAAGUCUCUCAAACUUUAUUUGGAUCAAGAAGAGGAAUCAAUUUCUCCCUUUAAAUUUUUAAAGUCACAGUUACAAUGUAUUUCUGCAGUUGUGUUCCACAAAACUCUAAGUUCUCCUUUUUGAAAGUGGUAACAGUCAGAGAUCUGCAAAAUCCGUGAAAUAAAUGCUUAUGUUAGCUGUUGGCCUCGUGGAGCUUCACUCGGACGCAUCCGGCUCGCUCCGACAACAGACCACGCCACCCACGAGAUCCUUUCUAAAGACAGUAGCUGGAGACAGUGAAGGCAGAGGUGAUGGUGUCUGCCUGGGAAAGAAAAAGAAGAGGCAAAUGUUCGGUAGAAGAUCCCAGAGAUCCCAGUCAAGCUUUGGUGACUGAGUCUAAAGCACUCCAGAUGGAGGUACUCAGUCAAAGUACAGGAGCUUAACUACCAAGGCAAACCUCUUAGGUGAACAGAUAUAGAGUAUAGGUACUCACUACGUACUUAAAAGUUAGAUAAAGGCUGCGGUUUAUCACACAAGUAUUCCCCAACCUUGUGAAAACACAAAAAUAGACAAAAACAGAAAGUAGAUAACCUGAGCCUUAAAAACUUUAAAUCUUUGGGUGAACUCACACACAAGAUGUAUACCUCGUGUGUGAUUUCACCCAAAGAUUUAAACCUCUUAGGUGAGUGCAUAUUAACAAGUCCUCAGCUAAAAAGGAAAAUCUCUAACGAGGCAGAAAUGGGCAUUUUUAUUAACACCUACAACAACCCAUACCAUAAUUGUUAUUAUAUUUAGAUGUAAGUCAUGCAAUUUAGCUUGUUUCUGUGCCUACGUGUGCUUGUGAUGUAAACCCUGGACUCAGGCAAGACAUUGGUUGCUCAAACACUCACUCUUUUUCACUUUUGGGAUGAAGGCUCCUGGAUCCUUUUGAGAGUAUCUCUUUUUUUGGUACUCAUUGUUGGUGAGCACCCUCUUUGAAAAGCACUGCAGGUAACUCAGUAACAUUAAAAAUGUAUAAUGUUAUAUUUAUUAUUAUUUAUUAUUAUGUACUAUUACACAAGUUAUUGCAUUUUGAAAUUAUCCGUAAUUGUUCAUUGCAAUUAUAUAGAAAUAAAUAAAAUAUAUACACAUACAAAUGUACACGUGAAACUGAAUAUUUUUGAAUGUGUGUCAAAAAUGUUAAAAGCCUGAGAAAAUAUUAGGCAGAGUAAAAACAAAACAGCAUAUGAAAAUAGUUAACAAUUGCUGGAAAAAUAAAAACUUUGUACUCUAUGCUUGCUAAUCCUUCAGUAAUUUGCUUAAUGAUAGUACAGGCUGUGUUUUACACAAAAGUACAUAUAAAUAAUGUAAUUGUGCAAACAUUAUUUUAUCAACUUCAAUAAUCUUGGGAGAAUAAAUUAAAAAUAUAUUCACAUGCAAGUCUUUUAAAUUGAACCCAGAAUGUAAAACAAAACAGGAAAAAAACACAAUAUUGCUCACUUUGAUCCUGCAAAAGUUAAGAUGAACCAAUUUCCGAACUGCUGACUCACAGAGCUGUGAGUUCAUGUAUCAGUCUCCGAUCAUACAACAUUAAAGCCACUGACAGAUAAGUGAAUAACUUUGAUUAUAUAAUUACAAUGGCAGCUGUUAAUCGGUGGAAUAUAGUAAGCAGCAAGUGAACAGACAGUUAUUGAAUUUCAUGUGUUGGGGCAGGUAAAACAGGCAAGUGAAGAAAUCUGAGUGACUUUGGCAAGGACAAAUAGUGAUGGCUAGACAACUGGAUCACAGUAUCUUCAAAAUGGCAAGUCUUGUGGGGUGUUCCUGGUGUCCAGUGGUUAGCACGUACCAAAAUUUGUGUCAGGAACAACUGGGUCAUGGAUGCCCAAGUAUCAUUGAUGCAUGUGAAGAGAGAAGACCAGCUUGGCUGUUACAAUCACUCAGAAAAGCUAUUGUAGCUCAAAUUGCUCAAACACUUGCUGCUGGCCAUGAUAGCAAGGUGUCAGAACGCACAGUGCAUUAUUGUUUUCUGUGUAUGGGUCUGCAUGCGCAUGAUGACCCCAGUCCACUGUUGAGAGUACCUUCAAUGUGGACCUGAAUGUCAGAAGUGGACCAUGGAGCAAUGAAAGAAGGUUGCCUGGUCUGAUGAAUCAUUUUUUUUCUUUUAGAUCAGGGGGAAGGCCAGGCGUGUGUGCAUUGUUUACCUGAGGAAAAAAUGGCAGCCAGAUGCACUAUGGGAAGAAGGCAGGCCAGUGGAGGCAGUGUUAUGCUUUUGGCAAUGUUCUGCCGGGAAACCUUGGGUCCUUGAAUUCAUGUAGAUGUUACUUUGACACGUACCACCUAUCUAGCGAUUGUUGCUAACCACAUACACCCUGUCAUGGCAAUGGUGUUCCUUUAAGGCAGUGGCCUCUUUCAGUAGGAUAAUGCACCCUGCCACACUACAAAAAUUGUUCAGAAAUGGUAGAAGGAACAUGACAAAAAAUUUCCCAGAUCUCAAUCUGAUUGAACAUCUGUGGGAUGUGCGGGAAUAUAUAUCUGAUCCAUGGAGGCCCCACGUUGCAAUUUGCAGGAUCUGCUGCUAAUGUCUUGGUGCCAGACGCCACAGGAGGUCUUGUGGAGUCCAUGCCUCAUUGCAUCAGAACUAUUUUGGCAGCACGAGGGGAACUUAUACGAUAUUAGACAGGUGGUUUUAAUGUUGUGGCUGAUCAGUGAACAUGUAUAUAAACAAACAAAAUAAAUGGCACAGGACCAUAUGAUAUUAGGAAAUGUACUUGUCAGGGGUGGCGGUCCGUUGACCGGGACCCAGUAUGCCUGAUCUUGAUAGUAGGAGUCACUGGUGCAGGGUAAUCACACGCCCCCUGGUGUUGAUCACCAGUGUUUGUGCGGCCACAUACCAGGGCCCUGAUGCAGCUUCUGCGGAUCCCAGGUGCCAGAUGUCAAGAAGAAGACCUCCCAGGAUCUGAAUAGGGAGGCUCUGCAGCAGAUAUGUAUCCAGUACAGAAACAAGGUAAGACUAGAAUAGACACCAAACAAGAAAACAAGACAAAACUAGGAGAACCGAGAACCGGAGCAGGACAGAAAGCAGAACCCAGAACAUGUACACAAGACAUGAGGAAAACAAGAACAGGGCAGGACAGGACUGUACAUGAACUGGGAAUACAAGACAAAACAAGACAAGAGAUACAAGGCAAAACAAGAGGAGACAACUAAGUACUAUAUAUGUAAAACAUUGGUGAUUUAGACAUACAUAAAUGGCCAAGACGUAUGCAGCCCACCGCUGCGCCAAAGUACUCCAAUUAUGGUGAGUCCUAACUGCCUAGAUAUGCAUGACUAAAUAAACAAUAAUAAAACACACACAGCACUUACCUGCAAGAAAGGGGCAGAGGACUUGGAACAACUGCCUGCAGGAGCCAACUAAAACAAAAGGAUUAAUGGAAAAGGAAAGGGUGUGGCAACAUAAAACAAACAUUUAAAGGAAUCCAGGAGACUGGGAAUUCCAGGAACGGAAUAAAGGAAUGAACCCAGGAAACCCAGCAUAAAGAAAAUUAGACAUGGAUUAGAGAACCAGAAAAACUAAACAAGAAUUGUAAAAAGAGUACUGGAUACCAGAAGCCAAGGCCAGACAUCUCCGCAGAACAGAGCAGGAUGUGACAGUACUUCGCAAAUGCCAAGUUUUAUCAUUGACCUUUAAAUAAAUAGAAAUGCAUUCUUAAUUGCUGAAAUAAUACUUUGAGGGCACAGUCUUUCUUAAAAAAAAACAAAAAAAAAACAUAUUUGCAUAAAAACACAAAUAUUUGAUCAAUGAAUUGAUCCUUGUCAAUAUUAACUGUCUGAAAUGUCUUGCUUUUUCCAAACCAAAAAAAAUGAAUAAUAAGACUUUCAUGUUUUCUUCACUGAAAAUUCCCUGGCUCCUGGAGUAUGAUGAAGUCCAAUAUCCAAAAUUAUGGUCAGAUUUUCCAGGGAAUCCACCCUUGGAGAAAUAACCAGCAAUUUACUGAAAGCCACACAUUACACUUUACUGUAUUUUAUAAUAUUACUAACAUUGUCAUGGAUCAUAUACCGUACUAUAAAAAUGCAAUAUGGAAAACUUGAAGGGACACGCCAAGUGCAAUAAACACAUCUUGUUAUUGCAAUAAUUGUGAUGUAAUUUAGGCAAACGGUGCUUCACCAUCCAUCUCUUUUAGUAUUUGUUCAGUGUGAGCACUGCAGGAACAUGCAGGAGCCAUGCUAUGAAAGUGUGCGAAAAUAUAGAACUUAUUUUGGCCUGGGUCACAGCACUCUGAAAAAUAUGUUGGCAGAAUCGGCUUUCUUGGAUUCAGUGCUACAAACAUAUUUUUAACAUUUACGUUUCAACUAUAUCUGCACCCAAAUCAAAAAUCUAUCUUUCUUCUUGUUCUUGGGUAGAACGUUGGCUUAAAGAUAGAGUACAACGAGUUGUCAUUAAUGGUACAUUUUCAGGCUGGACAAAAGUGGUAAGUGGGGUCCCUCAGGGUUCUGUUUUGGGACCGAUACUAUUCAACACAUUUAUAAAUGAUCUUUAAAUAAGCAUCAAAAGCCACGUUUCAGUAUUUGCAGAAUACACAUAACUCUGUAAAGUAAUACAAUGUGGAGAGGGAUUUAGAUAGAUUGGGGGACUGGGCACUUAAAUGGCAGAUUAAAUUUAAUGUAGAUAAAAGCAAAGUUGUGCACUUCGGAAGUAGGCAACAAUGUGCAAUGUUAAUCGGCAGUUGCUGAGGCCUAUAAGGUAUUGUCAUGUAUAAACAAGGGCAUUAAUUCUCGUGAUGAAAAUAUAAUUUUGCUUCUUUAUAAUUCAACAGUAAGAGCACAUCUCAAACAUGCUGUGCACUUUUGGGCACCUGUUUUAAAGAAGGAUAUUGGGGCAGUAAAAAAUGCAGAGGCUGGCUACAAAAUUAAUAAAAUAAUUGGAACAUUUAAAUCUGUUUUCUUCAGAAAAAUGGUGCCUCAGAAGGGAUAUGAUAGCAUUGUACAUAUAUAUCAGGGCCAAUACAAACCAUAUCUAUCCAUAGAAAGAACUAUAUAUAAAACACAAGGUCACAAAUUGAGAUUAGAAGAAAGGACAUUUAGUCUAAAGCAAAUGAAAGCAUUUUGUUGCACCCAAGUGCAACAAAAUGGGUUUCACCUUUUGUGAUCACAGAGUGACUAAUGUAUUGUGAUUAGAUAUGAUUUGUGCAUGUGCCCAUUAUGUAAAGAUGCACUUUAUAUAUAAUUUAAGAUUUCUCAUAAGUGUAAAGAAUUUUUUAUUCACAUAAAAUAAGUAAUUAGUGGAUAUAUGUGCAUGUUUCUGCAUCCAUAGAUUCUAUUGUAAAAUGAUCGAAAUUAUUGUAAUAAUCUUAUUAAUGUGGUGCCAUCCAGAGUUUUUUUAAUAGUAUUUCCUCCCCCCCCUCUGUUUAUUCAUCUACCCACACACGUUCGAAGUCACUAUAAUAAUGAAGGAAAUUAAAAUAAACGACCGCGAUCCACUUCCGUGUUCGUGGAACGCAAGAUGGAACACAAACGGCGCACGUGAUGACGUCAUCCGGUUUUAAACACACAGAAAAUACCGCCAAAACGGAAGUUGAACACCAGCUGGAAAUCAUUGAAUAAUUAAUGGGGGAUGUAUAAUAGAAUUGUGGGAGGGAUAGUUUUUAUUGCUGCUGCUAU
rnacentral:lncRNA from 1 species